rnacentral:lncRNA from 1 species
GGCCGUCGACUGAACGAGCUCAUUCACCAUUUUUUGAGUGUUGUUUGGCUGGUUAUCUGGAUAACUUUAUGUUAUCCACCCUUUAACCAGCAUCCAAACACAGCCUAGGGUAUUAAACCUGAAGUAUAAAAUCUUGCUUUAAUUAAUUUCUAGCUAUCAUGCUAUAUGAUGUUAAGAAAAAGAAGCUGUCUGGUCAUGCGACAACUUAUUAAUAAAUAACAUUUUACUUGUAGAUUGGUUUUAAAGAAGUCUUUCUUAUUGCAAACUUGCAUGCAGUGAUAUUUUUCUAGUGGUUGUUUUGCUAGUAUUGAAACUACAGUACAUCAAUUCAUUUAUAUUUUGGCCUACCAUUUCUUCGAUUUUUGUCUUCUUUUUCAGCGGAUGGCUUGAAUAUUACCUUUUUCAUCAUCUGUUUCAUAAAACUGUUCAUAGCUUUACUUUUUGUUUGCUGCUCAACAACUACCCUUUACUAAAGUAACAGCCAUUCUGUAACCUAACCAUCAAAGCUUGGUAGUUCAAAGUGUAGUUAGAAAUGAAAUGACUGCUUAUAGAACUCUCUCUCAUUUUUGCUAAUCAGUCUAGCAUUGGUUGCCAAAUGGAUUGGUCUAAGAUAAGCGCUAUAACAUUGAAUAACAUCAUGUAAUAGUGAGCCAAGUCCAAUGCUAGCUGCUUGAACUAGGGUUGUUGUGACCCCUCUGGAAUUCUUUUCUACCCAAUGACAAGGGCCUUUGCAUUUCAUUAUAGCACGAGCAAUAUCUUCCCUAAGACAAUGAAGCACUGCUCAAUAUAUUAAAGGUUAUGCUCAGAAUCUGUAGAUUGUCCCUAAUGUUCUUGAGUGUUAUAGUCGCAACUCACAUGAUGCAAUUUUGGAAAUAUUUAGUGAAAUAAAACAUUGUUAAUCUUAACCAUUCCAUACGGAGUUGCCAUUUGGCAAAAGAGAUGCCUCUCCCCUCUGUGCUUGUAUUCUCUAUUGUUCGGAAGAGGAUGCAUAGUGUUGAAACUUGAAAGUUGAAACCAUUGCGCACCCACUCACUCCAAAGAUCUCUUCGCUGUUCAAUGCAGCUUUUUUGACAAUUCACUCAGCAGAUUACAUUGCUUCUCAAGCACCCAAUUAUUCUAUUAUUUCCAUAUAGGUCACAUCAUACAGCAAAUGGUUAUUGGUCUAGAUGCUUCUUAGUUUCUCCCUACCUUGAGGCCUGUGCCUUUGAACUUUUGCAGCCAUCUUUCACUGCAGUGUUGUUUAGAAGUGAUUCUUGGAACUAGCCCAGUCAUGGUAUGCUGAACUGAGCGGAAUCGGUCGGUUUAGCUCGUACCGGACCAGUGCCGACAUACGACGUAUUAUUUCGGUUCCAUACGUAUACCGAUGCAAACAGGCUCGGUUCGCACUGGUACAUAUCCGUAUCGGUGUGAACCGGCCUGGUUCCUACCGGCCCAAGCGCGGGCGCCCCACGCCUUGAUGGUUUUCUGCGCUGGGAACUGCGCCAACACUCGGUUCCCCGCGCUCGCGUGCGCGGGGCAGCGCGCCCGUGCGGGCGCGGGGCCCCGCUUGGGAUAUUCAAUGCUACUUUGUGGCAUUUAACGCGGACGGGCGUGCGUCCGCGGGAGGUUUUUUUUCUUUUGGUCUUUCGCCGGUACAGUACCGUGCCGGGUGGCAGUACCGUGCCAGUACCGACGCCCACCGGUAUGUCGGUACAAUUGGCAUGGCGAACCUUGGGCCCAAUUCUUAUAAGAACUGGGGCAGCAGACAAGGGUAUUGUUGAGGUGUUCUCUGAAAAAAAUUGCUGGGGAACUCUUUUCUUUUUAUUCUUUUCAGUGACAUUCUCCUUACCUGUACUAAUUUUAACAAUGUCAAUUUAUUCCAAGUUUCUCAAACAAGCUAACCUUGAAGUGAUUGAAACUCAUCUGUCUGGUCAAUGCUGGUGGGUAAGAUUAUUGGAUGAUGAUAACUAAGUGCUUCAUAUGAUUGCAUUUUGUUCUGCUUUCAGUAUUAUUAUGGAUAGUAAUGUGUUAUUUUAAUUUCAUCUUUUUUGGGACGUCUGAACUUUGGGUAUGCUGGAGGUAUUUUCUUGAUCAUUUCAUUUUGUUAGGAUGCUUCGUUACUAUUUUCCUUUUUCUUUGGUUUGUUUCAGCUGUAGCAUUGCUACUGCUUGUUGGUGAAUGUCAUGAAGAUAUAUACUGAGGUUUUGGUUACAUUCCCUUAUGUUUUGAAGUUUUUUGUAGUGUCAAAUGGAGCCUGUGUCCAGCAAUGUCAUUUUCAUGCUGUUUCCCUCCAUAUGACCUUUAUAUUUCAUGGAUUGUCAUGCUCCCGCUUUGCAUUGGCAUAAGUAAAAGGUAUUCAUAUGUCUGAUGCGAUAUCAUUUAAAGGGUACCAUAUAUUAUGGGACAUCAUCAAUGGUUACCAUGUUACCUGAUGUCAUUUUCUUAUUUGUUUGGGGAUAAUUUAUCACCAGUUAGUUGGCUACUUUUCAACUUUUGUCUUGUAAUGGAGUCAAUAGAUUUGAGAUAAUUGAAUUGUCCAUGAUUUUUUUAGUGAUCGAGUUUUCAUGCUUCAGGCAGAUGACAGCAAACAAUCUGAGAGGACUGUUUCUGAUGAGCUGCCUCAGGCAUGUAACUUAAUAUGGCUUGUUCUUUGUGUGGUAAAUUAUUUUGAUAAUUGAAGUAUGGAUGCCAAGCGAUUUUUCCUUUAUUCAGGGUUCUGCAAAGAUGGAGCAAGAAGUAGGUUGUGCUGAAGAAGUUGGUACUGCAGCAGACAAGUCACCUAGAUCAGUGAUGAGCAAUGGUACUGUUCAGAUAGGCAAUGGCGAAUUUGUGGUCGAACAAACAUCUCCAAAACAGAGGCUCGAGCGUUCUCGUCGCAACAGUCAGUCCAAAAGUACUUCUGCAGGUGAUAGAGCUGAUUCAGAUAACUUGGAGUCAACCCCUGCAAAACCAGAAAGUACCUCAGACCUUAAUGCAAGGAAAAUAAGCGACCGAACAGCUGGCCAUUCUCGCAUUGAUGGCGACAAAGAAACUCCUGCAUUACCUAGGAGAAAAGGUCGUGGUAAGGAAGCUGGUAGUGCAAAAUUUGAUGGUCCAUCUGGAAAAGUAGCAGACUCAGCUAAGAAAGAUGAGAUUCAGCUCAAUUCUGGAUCCGAUAAUGGAACUGGCAGUCCUGUAUCACCAGAUCAUAGUGAGAGUCCUGAUGCAACUCGACCCCGACGGGGUCGACCCCCUAGGUCAAAUGUAUCCUUAAAGAGAGGUGGUGGCAGUGCAGUAGCUGGCGAAUCUUCUUCCCUUUCAGGGCAGAAGGGAUCUUUGGGAAGUGGUCAUACUCAGGAUGAAGCUUUACCGUUGAAAGAUGUUGAUUCCAAGAAGGAAUUAGAGGGUAGCGGUGAUUCAGAAGGAAAGUCUUCAAGGCGCUCUCGCAAAAAACAUCUAGAUAAUGCUGAUGAUGGUGAAACACCAACAACUAUAACAGGCGGUUCAGAAACGAAGCUACGGAGACAGACAAGUAGAAAGGCAUCCACAAGAAAGGUCACUGAUGGCGAAUCAUCACAAAAACAGUUGAAGUCCAACAGCAAGCAGCAGAAGGAAAAACAUAAUGCUCAAAAAGAUGUAGCUGCAGAACUCAGUUCGAAGGUAGUGAUAGAAAAGUUGAUAAUCCCUCUUUUUGAGUACUUGGUCAUAUGGGUAUAUGUACAUUGACUCCUUGUCGCUAGCUUUAUAUGUCCCUCACUUUGCUCGCGAGAGGUUGCUUCCUCUGCCAUUCUUGACCUUCUGGGAUAUGAUAGCCUGUUUCUUUUCAUGCCAUUUUAUGUCUCUUCUCCAUCCAAGUUCUUCCUUGCAAUUAGAAUGGCUUCAAUUGUUGUAUCCUGCUCAGAUCUUCUGUCAGUAGCUUAUACCUUCUCCAUUGGGCAUAAGGCGAGUGUUGGGGUUACCCUGUUAAAAUGGGAAGUUCAGUUAUCAAUCCUCAUCUUGUUCUUCGAAGUCAUUUACCUCUUCUGCUACUACGACAUUCUCUUCACAAGAGUUUGUGCAAGAUUAGUUAGAACCUUCUUAGUUGACCUAUUUGGUGUCUGAUCAGAAUAUUAGUGUUUUUCCCCUAAUUUUGGCUUUUAUUAUCUUUUUAUAAUUUAGUGAGAUUCAGAACUACAAUAUCAUGAACAAUAGUUUAAUGUUGUGUAGUACAUAUUGCUGUUAGGUGAUUGGACCUGAGUCGUUCACUAAUCAUUUGGCAUUUCACUUGUUUUAAAGAUCUAAGUACAUAUAAAAAUAAUCCAGACAAGCUUAACUACCCAUAUGUUUUUCCACAUUUCAGUUGGUUUUUCAUUAGGUUGUCUUACCUUUUGGUUCCAAACAUCUUGCUUAUUAUAUAUCUAUUUUUUUUGGUUGUUUAAACUAUUUAAUAACAGGUAUGCAAUAGUCAAUACAAAUUGGUUCUGAUAAUCCUCUCAAUGAAAGUCACUCGAUAAAUUCCUCCAGUAAUCAUUGCUCAAUUAUCUUAAUCUCACCAUUGACCAAACAUUUAUUAUCCCUCUUGGACCUUGUAUGGUUUAUUUCUUUUGUUUUUCUUACCCUUGAAUUUGUAAAUCAUGUCAUCCAGUUAUGAGCCUCUCAAAUAAACAAUUGCAUGGGUUAUAUUUAUAUGUUAUCUUAUUUUCUCUUAUCUUAUUUUUGGAGUGCCAUCUUUUUUAUCAUUCUAGAUUAUGCAUCUUUUUCAAAGCUUGCCAUGCUAUUUGUUUUUCCUCUUACAUAGAAAAUUAAGAUCUUACCAUCAUAACCUCUUGUAACUACUAGCGGUGUCAGAGGCAAAAAGUCAGCAGUUGAUAGGUUCAACUAAUAGGAGAUUCAUGAUGCCACACAGAGAAAAUAAAGACGAAAUUUUGAUUGCAUAGGAUGUUUGUAUAUUAUUUUAUAUGGUAAAUUGGUUCGUUGUAUUCUUUGGAAGGAUUAUAAUUGUUCUGCUUCCUUUUUUUUUCAGGAAAUGGUUUCUUCACCAAAAUCUGCUUUGAAAGCUAAAAGUAAAUAUCAUGGCAAUCUGGAGGAGAGCACUAGUGCAAAAACUAAGAGAAAGCGAGGUCGAGGAACUGAAGAGGUACUGAGAAGCUUGCUAAUAAAUUGUGGCAUUUUUGACAAUCCUGAAAUAAUUACAUCUUAUUCCUAUAUGGUUGGUAAGUCAGUAUCAUAUACAUUGCUAUAUAUGUUUCUGCCCAUCCCUUGCAGCAUAGCACACAUCGUUUGUGUGUGGCUAUGAUUGAGGAUCAUGAGGGCUUCACUUCCCAGUGUUCCUUUAUUUGCCAAUGUCUGGAUUCCAUAGGAUUUGCAUAUUUUGUCAUUGGCUAUUUUUAUCGUUCAUUUAAACUGGUACGUGGAAAUGCACCUUGGGCGAUUCAUUCAUCUCUGAUUGGUUACUUAGGUGAUACAACAUAGAGCACUAUAAGGUUCUGCAGUGUGAAUUGUUUCAUAUCUUGUGGCAUGUUAAAUUUGUGCAUCAUGGGGAGCAUGUGACAUUUAUUGGUGUGAUAGAUUCAGUAGCUAUUUCUGUCUCCGAAGAUAGAAGGGAAAAUAUUGAUGCAUUUCCUAGGUAUGUUGGUACAAUGUCAUUGUGAGAUUCUGUCUCUUAAGGUUUGCCAUUUGUGUGAAAGGAGGAAAUAUGAAAGGUAAUUUUGUUUUUUAAGCUGACUGACAGUAAUUGUUAGACUCUCUCUUUUUUUCCUUUUUUCUUUUUCCUUCGCGCCUGCUGGGGGUGGGGGCCCGCUGGGGGCGGGGAGGUUGGCAAGCACAUGGCCUUUCACCCCUUGGAGAGGUCUGUUUUUCAGGGUGUUUGUCUGCUUUCAUGUAUGCUGAUCAUGUUUGUUAUUUUAGUUUCUGUGGUUUUGCUGUGCUCAUUAAGAUUUUAUUCUGUCAAAAAAAUGAAGGCUUUCUUUGUCAUCGAUUAUUUCUUCUAUAUGCAUUUGGGAUAUCCUGGGACUGAGACUAAUAUUUUAGUUAUGCCUGUAUUGAUUAGCAUUGUCAAUAACUUUAUGCUCAGCUCGAGUGUUAUCUAGAGUGGUGUUCUGGUCUUUGGAUUUAGGACUCUGGAGUGCCUAACUCUGUAGUUUGAUAUUUAGAAAUUCAGAACAAUAGUCUGUGUUUAAUCUUUGUUCUAUAUUCUCUUUCCUUCCUGUUUUCUCUCUCAUCCUCCUUUAUUUUUUGUAUUUCUUUUGCCUUUCUACUUUAUCCUUGGCAGCUUGCAUGCUGCCAAGAGCUUCCUCUUUCUUUUAAUUUCUCAAUUUAUUGCAUUUCCUUUUUUUGUAAAUAUUUUCUUUAUUCUCUUUCAUAUACAUGCAGUGACUUAAUCUGUUGCAUCAAACAAUACAAAAUGUAGCAGCAUCUUCUUAGUCCUGCCUCUGACUUCCUCUUAUCUUUGGGCUGCUGUUUGUUCUUGUGACUAACUUUUUCCCUGGUUCAACUUGAAGCAAAUCAGACAUGCUUUCCACAGGUCAAGCCAUGAUUUACUCUAAAAUCUUACUCUCCCUACCUCCUAUUUCAAAACCUCUUUACUAUUUGAAUCUAGUGGUAAGAUUUGAUUGCCUAUGUUGAAUUUUGUGGAGAGUUUUAAUGCAAAGUUUUGCAUAGAGUUCCACAGUCUCCAGGAGCUUCUAAUCACUAAACAUGUUGGUUCUUUAGAUAUAUGUUUAGUAGAAACUCUUGAAAAGGGCAAGAUUGUUUGAGCAAAAAAAUAUAUAUGCUAGUGAACUAAUGGCUGCAGUUAAUGCCCUGUGAAUAUGUCUUCCUUCAGUGAAUUAAAAAUUAAAUAUGGUAUAUAGAAUGUUAAUGAAUAUUAAUUGGUAAUACAUGUUAUCAUUGAAAGUUUUAGACAUCUUAUAUUGUCAAAUCCUAGUAGUAUGGGCUUGACUAUGAUGGAAGAAAUAUAGGCUCCUAAAAUGUCAUUUUUUGCUAAUACUCUCUGUUAUGUUUUGCUGUAUAUGAUUGCUGUCCAAUGCAUGGGGUUAGCUCUGGUAUCAUACUGAGAGGGAUCACUUGCUGACCACAAUAGCAAUUAUCCAAGGUAAUGUUUGCUGUACUACCUCGAACCUACCAGAUCAGAAUCGGUACAAAAACACUAUUUGGGUCAACACUGACCAACGGUACCGAGGUGAACCGAGGUGCGUACCAACCCAUACUGCCUGAUUUUAGAUGGUACCAUGAUAAAAAGUGUGAAAAAUGGCUCGGAAGAUGUCUCGGUAUGGGAUGCGUAUCAUACUGACUCGGGCCAUACCGAACCAGUAAUGUACCAGUUUGGUGUUUGGUACCGAGAUUAUUUCACAUGUUCUUUAGUUUAAUUCAAAUGGCUUUGAUUAUAAUGUCCCAUAAUGUAAAGUUGAAGAAUUAUUUAAUAAAUAUCAAAAUAUAUGUAAAAAAAUUGUCAUAACAUAAUAUUAUUCAAGUAUCUUGUAUUUUGUGGGAAUUGUGUAUCUGAAGACUUUUUAGUAUAAUUUAUACUAGCAUGAGUUUUGAUGAGGUGGUAGAGAUGUACUUGUAAGUUGUGUAAAAAUUAUUGAAAGGAAGCAACUAAUAGCAAUGAUAUUAUUUAUAAAGGUUUGGGUAACAACCAACAAAAAAGAAGCCCAACAGAACCAACGUUUUUGUUGGGGGCCCGGAACUAUUCUUUUUGGCCUGUAUUUGAUCAGUGUCAUUUAAGCACAACUCAAAACACGUACUUAAAUGUUUAGGGAUGUCAUUAGGUUAAUUGAGAGUUACUGUUUCUUUUACCGAAAGGAACCUUUAAAUUUCUGAUCUUUUUGUUCUUUUCCCCACCUGUGCUUAAAGAUAUCAGAUUAUAAGAAUCACUCUUUGUAUACCAGUGAGCCUUAAUGUUACUAUUCCUCAGUGAUGAGAGAGGUUGUACUAAUUCAACACCGCUGUUAGAUGCUUCCGUGGAUUUUGAUUUUCCUUUCAAGUGAAUUAGAAAGGCCAAAAGAGUUCUACAGGGAACUGUAAGAGAGUAAUACUGGAGGCUUGAACUUCCUGUUGCAAAUCCUUGGAUGGAAGUUGCAUAGAUUGUUUUAAGGAAUGGCUUGUCGGAUCACACAGGUUGAUGCAACUAAGGCCAAGCAAAGGGCUUUAUUUGACCUUGUUUUUUAGCCAAAGGUCAUAUAUUUUGCUUUGGAUUUAGUUAGGUUAUCUUGGAGUAUGCAAGGAAUUUUUUUUUUCUUUUUUAAGUUGCAUGGAUUGUCUGGGGGGCUACUAGAUGCUCAUUUAUAGGGGCUUAUUUGUUUUUCUCAUCAGCAUGUUUUGUAUAAAGACAUUAAAAGAAGUUAGUUUUGGUGCCAAAAAAUUUGUUUUCCAGUUUCAUUUUCAGAGACCUAUUUAAACUAAACCAGCUAUUAUGUUGCACUCCAGUUCCAUCAAGAAGAGAUAAGUUGGCUGAUUUAGAUGCUGAUUGGAAGUCCUACUACAUCUUAAAGGAGACUCCUAGUGGAAUGAUGGUCAUCUUGAUUGCUAUAAUAUGUUAUGACUCUCAUGAUGCGAAGGAGUGCCUAGUCCAUGGUCCUACAUCUUAGAAUCCGGAUUUUUGAUCUUAUGGUUCAAAUUGAACCAUUUUAAUGUUGCUUUAUCCAAAUUAUGGAUCAUGGGAUCCUGACAGUGUUGCGCCUUCUUGUAUAUGCUUUUACAUAUAAUCCUUUCCACUUGUCUCAUAAGUACGUUGACGUGAUUUAUGUAAUCUUUUUUUAUUAACCUUCAUUGAGUUCAAGCCUGAAAAGGUUUGAGCAAGGUUCACCAUCUUGGUACCACACUGUUGUAGUGUUGGUAUGCCUCGUGCAGGGGUUGGUUUGGCCUAUGGAGACGCGAUACACCCUCUGUACCGAGUCUCAGUCCGCUUCUGAAAUGUUAUGACAUGCCUGGAAUGGGGGCAGUAUGCUUCGGUACAGUGAACCAUAACUCUAAGACAGUUUCAUGUUGAGUAUUGUCUUUGGUUAACACUUGAGAUUUUAUUUGAAACCAUAGAUACAUACAUAGAGAUAGCUGCCCUUAAUAGGAAUUGUUGAUGUAUGCGGAGAGGAGGCAGAGGAGAGGUGACAGCUCGCUUCUAUUAUUUGGGAGGGCUAUUACCUGUUAUUGGUUUAUGGACAUGGAUACUGAGGUGAACUUAAUUUAAAGUCUUGCAUUCCUUUUGUCAUUCUUUUGUGUUUUUGGCAUUCUCAUGUGCAAAUUGUUGCAUUCCUUUGGUCUCCCGUUUAAACCAACUUUUUUUUUUUUGAGGAAACAAUAGGUAACAGGUGCUAGAACAUUUAAAUCAUAUUGAAAUUGUGGUUUGUUGAAUAUUUUUUUUCUCUACUUGAAUCUGUUUUGUUAUUGUUUCUUUUUGUUUCUUCAUUUGAUUUCUUACAUUAAAUAAUAUUUUUCUUGUAUCAUUUGUUGAGCCACAUAGUCCUUUCAUUCUUCCUAUUGUGUUCUUCCCAGGGUUCUGACACACCAGCUCAAAGUGCAGUAUUAGAUGGGGGCCUUGUUGGUUCCAGGAUUAAAGUAUGGUGGCCGGAUGACAAGGCGUAAGUAUCCCAUGAUCUCAAAUCUUCUAUUAGUAUGACAUAAUCCUGUUAGUAGAGAGGCAGCAUGUUCUCGACAGAUGUUAGAUUGUGCUUGGAGAUUCUUCUUGAGAUAUGUUAAGCACAUUUUUCCAUAAUUUACACUUAUAAAAAUAGAAAAUUUUACUAUUUUCUUAUAGACAGCUUUGUAUUGCUAUCAUGAAGUAUAAGCUAGCUAUUCGGAAAAUGAAAUGGUAAUUAGCUUCUUUAACUGGUAUGGUCUUUAUUCUUGGCAUUUGCUGUCCAGUCUUUUUCAAUUGCUACGAGGUAUGGUAUGCACAGUAUGGACUGUUACAAUCUGGUGUUAUGAAAUGAUGUUGUUAUGUUUACAAGCAUGCAAAUACUACCCCACUAUGUUAAGAUCACUGACUUUAAAAUGAUGCUAAAAUAAUUUUCUCAAAAAAUUGGUGAACGAACAUCAGGUGUCUGAUGUGCUUGAUUUUUUUACACGCUGCAGUUUUUAAGGAAGUUUUGUAUCUAAGUGAUACUUCGUCGCUCUUCUGGGUAAUUGUCAUAUUGGUUAUUAUUAUUUGAACUGCUUUUAUUCUGCAGGUUUUAUGAUGGUGUUGUUGAUUCUUUUGAUCCUGUUUCAAAGAAGCAUAAGGUAAAAUAUCAGACUUAUUAGGUAGAUUUUGAAGUUCUGUUUUUCCUGAUCUUGAAUGAAACUUUAUUUAUGUCAUUUUUAUUAUUUGUAAUAUGCUGAAUUUGUGUUUAUUCAGAUUCUUUAUGAUGACGGUGACAUAGAAAUAUUGUUGCUCAAGAAUGAACGCUGGAAAUUUAUUCUAGAGGAUGCUGGCAAAGUUGGGGUGAGUUGAUAUGGAUUACUGGCAUUAUAUAUGAAAUUAUGCCCUGUAUUCUAAUUUAUACUCAUUUGAUGUAUCAGGGACUAGUGAAAGAUAUUUCAAGUCCUGAUGCUUCUCCAGAAUUGUAAGUAUUGCUUUUAUUUGAAUAUAAUACGUUUCUUGAGUUGGUGGCAGUUUUGGUGCAUGUUUUCCUCAAGUAUAGUGGUAUUGUAGAUAUACCUUUUUGUUUUUCUUUAGAUUGGCCAAAACAAUAAAUUAAGACUUUUAAAAUGUUGAUCUUACUAGUGGUCGGAAGAACAUUUUUCUUGUAGGGUUAAUCUUUCCAUCUUAUUUAUCAGAUCGAGUUGUUCAUCCAACAUGCUCUCCAUUUCUUCCCAUCCUUCUUCUCCGGACUAGGUAUUCCUUUAAGCAGAUAUUAAGCCAUUAGUAACAAAAAGUGGACUAGUCUGCACUUGUUGAUUCAUACAUGAUUUAGGAAACAGAAGGAUUCUGUGUUCUGUCCUAGACCUAUCAGAAGAGGGAUGGUGUUAAGGUCUGGUGGCAGUGAUUUGAAGGAAAUAGGUGUCCCACUAAUGAAAAUCAGAAGUGAUUAAAUUGGUCGAGUAUAUGGGUUCUGAUCUAGGGAAAUAUUUAUUUGUAUUGAUUUUCUUUUUAAAAUUUUGGGUCAAAUUAUAGGCUGAGGAAAUGCUUAUGUGGACGGACUUGUAGAAUAGAUUACUAGAUUUUAUUUAGAAAUAUUGAUGUAGCAUGAAUUUGAACUGUGCAUGUGGUGAUGAGUUUUAGAUACUCAAAAGGCAAGAAAGUAUAUGCUGCAGAAGGUCGAGACUUUUUCUGUAUUGAGAAACCUGUUACAGCAGGGGACAAUUAGAAGGAAGAGAAAGGAUGAAGAUGAAGAAUAAGAAACAUAGAACAAUGGAAGCAUAAGAAGAGUAAAGAAGCCUGAAGGAGGCUAAGGAAAAAAGCAGUUAUGAAAUUUACGUUCUUGCAAAUCAACCCAAGAAUUAAACUACAAAACUCUCGAUGUAUUCAACUCAAAAACCAUAGUUUUAAUAAAAUUUAAAUUGUCACCUACUGUAUCCUUAAUUCAGGACCCUUUUACUGUUGUACCGCUUAAAAUCAGUAUUACUAAAUAAUUUGGACUCAAUCUUGAAAGACAGAAAUAGAUUACAGCCGUUGAAAACAUUGGAUUUUAUUUAUGUUAUUCUACUUGCCAUCCCGAUGUGGGUUCAAGGUUCCAUCACAUCAUCACACCAGUUCUUUCUAUUAUUUCCUAUGUUGUGUGAUUGAUGAUUUGCUAAAGGGCAUUUUGUUGUGGGGUCAUGCUUUCGUUUUAAUUGAGAGAAUUAGGUAGAACUGAUGAAGCGGCAUGUUGGUCUUAAAGGUUAUGAUUGCAUAACAUGGAAUCUUUUGUUAUGGUCUUUUAGCCUGCUCUCGUUAUAAUCCAGGCACUCAUUAUUAUCUCUUGUUUCCCUAUCUUCUCUCAAGGGCUUCAAAGCAAGCACCUAUGGCUUAAUGGCAAGUGUCAAUGCCUUGAAAGCAAGCACCUAUAGGUCUUCAGACUGGCUUGCUCAGGGUUAAAUAUCUUUUGGACCAAAAGCCUGCCUAGAAGUGCAUUUGGACCAAAAGCCUGCUAUCCAGAGCCAUCUUGAUUGUUAGAUGCUCGUAUACAGAUGUGGUGUGAAAUACAUUCAUGGUUGCCAGAUUUGGAAAUAGGAUGAUAGUUGUUUAUUGUUUGUUGUCACAGUUCUGUAUAAGAAUGAAGUUGGCAGACAAAAACAGAAAAAAGGUUGAAGGAAAUAAUGCUAGGGAUUUAGGAGUUAAUGGUAGAAUUAAAGGGGGGAGAGAUAAGUUUAAUAUUUUGUAAAUUUAUCAUCCAAUGCCGGAUGUAAUUUGAUGUCUGACUUAGAAGUAUAAAAUGUAUAACAAAAUAAGGUGAAAAGGGUUCUUAAGUAUUAAAAGUUUGGAAGAUGAUGACGUGAACUUAAUCUGUGAGUUGUUGUUAUUGUCUUGCAUUUUAAUGGUUAAAUCUGUAAAUGGGCAUGUGACUAUUUUAAUGAAGUUUUUAGGGAUGCAUGUACAAGCGAGAUCUAUGGAACUUAGGUUCGAAAUUCUUGUUACAAUGAUGAUGCGACGAUGGGAGUUUAGGUUGUUAUGCAAGCUGUUACUGUAAAAUUCUGACUGUACUUAUUGUACAUACAAUUAAACUGAAGAGGAGAGGGAGGGCAAAAGAAAUUAAUUUGAAGGACACGUGGAAGGGCAAGAAGGGAAAAAUAAGGUCGUAUGAGAAGGGUAAAAAACAAAAGGUAAAAAUCAUUGAGAUAUCCAACUAAGAUUAGGGAUCAAUUGACUUCUUAAAUUUUAAAAUGGUAAUCUUAUUUUAUUUCUUGUUUCAUUUUUUUUAGUUUUGAAAGUUGAGAUUUUUUUGGUAGGUUUUUUGGUUUUGAAAGAAAGAUAUUUACCACCGGCAUUAGCAUGGAUGGUGCCACCUCGCGCCAUUGGCGAGAGCACAGGGGUCCGAUCCCAGGGAUCAUCCCUUUUCAGGGAUUAUUUCGUGUUGAAGCUCACCCCCCCCCCCCCCCCUCCUCUCAAAAAAAGAAAUGAUAUUUAUAACUGAGAAAAUUAUACUUAGUUUCUAAUUCCAUGAUUUGAGGGAUUUUGGGGAAUUUUUUAUACUACUAAAACCCAAGUUCUUUAAAUUAAUGAAUUGCAUUUUCAAAAAAAAAAGAAAACCACAAAGUAUCAUGAUUCUUAUAGCAUAUCCAAAUGCAAGUUUGGGAAUCCUUACCAGGAUCAACGUUAAACAAGUGACACUGUGCCAAUUUUCUUAAACCUAACCUGACAUAGUUGUUUUGGUGAGGUCCCAUAUUUACUAGUUCAACUUUGUGUCUACUGUGGUCUGACUGGCUCAAAUCUUUUCCUCAAAAUUCCCUUCAUAAAUGAUGUUACCUUUUUUUUGGAAGGCCCAUAACUCAUCUUCUGUACUCGUGAAGGAACAUUCUUAGAAGUGAAAGACCUCUCACCCUCUCAAAUAUAGUGUUCUACUCUUCCACCUAAUUUAUUUUUUUUAUUGUAGUGAAGCAAUGGUUGGGGAUCCAACCUGCCAAUUCAAUCCAUGUUCGCACCACAAGACUUGCCACCUUCCUCACUGGUGAAUCGGGUGUUAGCAAACAGAUUAGCCUCCUUCCCACCAAAUCUACUUCUCCGUUGGCUGAUAUUUGCAUGCGUCUAGCAUCAGAACCCUUAUGACUGCAAUUUUUAGUUGGAUGAUAGCAACAUUAGUCAGUGGUCUUUGGAGUCCAGAUAUUGGGCCAGAGGGCUGUAACCAGUGAGAUCAUGGGGCGUGGUUAGAGUUCAUGGAGUCGUCGUAUGGUUUGAAUGUCGUUCCAUCGAAACAUCUCUUUGGACGGUUCAAAAUGGGUUUUUCAGAUGGCUGGUCAUAACACAGCCCAACUCUUUUGUAUGACCGGUCAGAUGAGUUGAUUAGUUUGACCCAGUGAAGUUCUAAUAGACUACGAUGUAAAUUUGUCCUGGUUAAACUAAAUUGUCCAUCUAUAUCUAUUAUCAUGUUAAUAUCUUUUUGCCACAAUUUAUUUAUGAUAUCAAUUCAAAACGGGACAUUAAACUUGCUAACCUCUGUACCAACAAGGACUCUUUGGAAACAGCAAAUUUCAAUAGGGGUGUAAAGACUGGAACCUCAACAAAUUAGUCCAACCUAGGGUUAAGAAGGAGAGCAAAGUGAGCCAAGAUGGCUGAAAUUGGUGAUGGCAAUGAGGGAGAGCAUAGUGAUGAGCAGGACAUUGCUGACCAUCAUUAGUCUGAGCCUGAGGGUGGCUGGAUGUCAAAUCUCAGUUAAUUGGCGCAUUGAUGGCGCAUGAGGUGAAAAUGAAGGCCAUAAUGAACAGAUGUCAACCUGAAGCUGAUAGGGAGCUGGGGAUGACUCAACAUGCUAUUCCUUCUGUCUUGGUGGCUCUUAUUUAUAGUGUUUCAUAUAAAUUGCAUUUUUUAAUUUCACUUAGUGGGAUUUUUGUAUAAUAAAGAACAGUCUUCAUGAUGCAUUUUGCGUAAGUGGUCACAUGUGGCAGUGAUGCAAGGAAUAAUCUGUUUCUUUAAUACCACAGAUUUCACAUUUGUCCCUUACUGUUCUUUGCAUGCCAAUGUUUCUAUCAUCUGUGAAAAGCUGUCACAUUGUCAUCUGUUUUAGCUCUGCGAGCAUGUUAAUAAUUGCUGUGAUUACUACUUAUAUUUUAUCUGAACAACAUGCAGCUUUAUACUAUUUCUUGACUGUUAUGCAGCCUUAUGGUUCUAUUUUUAAUGUCUAUGACAACUCAGGCAUUAAUGCAAAAAGUUGAGGCUGACAAAAUUAGCAUGGGGAUUUUUAUUUUAUUUAUUUAUUUAUUUUUUUUUUUUUUUGGGGGGGGAGCGAUUUGGAAUAAGUUGGGAUUUCCAAAUUGGAGGUUCUUGUUCAGAAAAUGGAUUUUAAGGGUUUAAAAUUUACACUCAUAGUAGAGUAUUGGAGGUCACCUUUGGAUUUUCGUGAGAUGCCUUCAUGUACCUUCUGAGUCUGUCAAUAAGAUAGUGGAAUUUUCAAAAAUUAUGGCUUCAUGAUUAUAGAAGAAGGUAGAAGAUGAUGAACCAAUAGACUGAGUUAUUCCAUAAGCAUGAAGUGGGAGCCUCAAGAUAGAAGGCAAAAUGGGAGUUGAAUGACAGAGAGGAGGAAGUUUGGGGAGUUGAAGAGUACGAAAUGGGAGGAGAGGGUGAGAUUAUGUUGCUUACCAGUCAGUUUGAAAGGAUAGCGAAGAUAAAUGGAAAGGGAGUUUAGAGAGUAAGAAGAACCAAAAAAGAAUAUCACUGUUGAUGAAAUUAUGAAGAAGAGGGGAAGGUGCUGUGAUUUUUGUGCUUCUUGUCAUGUGCCUGCUUUGGAAAUUUUGUUUGAUCUUUGGUAAUUGUCUUUUGGUUUGGCAGUUCAGCGUUUUCAUCUCUGGCUUCUGCAGUUUUGUGUUGAAGAAUUAAAUGAAAAAUCUGAUUCUAGCUUGACCUGGAUCCAGACCAACUAACCUUGGGAUCCAUGAUUUUGUAACAAAUUGGACCUGGUUCACUAAAUGAGUUAGGUCAAGUUCAGAUCUCUUAUUGGGUUUAAUCCAGAUCAGCUCUAAGUUUUAAGGGUUUGGCUUGUAUUUUGAAUUAAUUUUGUGAGGUAUAGUCAGAGGACCAUGUGGAUCUGAGUGGUUUUGGUACUAAUUUUCCAAGAUAGGUCACUGUCUUAACUAGAGUUUGUCUUAAUUUGGGACACCUGGCUUGUGGAUAUGAAGAUACAUGUCGGUUUUGAAGGGGACGAAGAUGAAGAUGAUGAUUUCAUUUUCUUUUGCACAAUCUUAAGGCCCAUUGGCGGUUUUUUUUAAUAUCAUAUUUUUUUCUCAAUUGUAGAUUUGCUGGCUUGUGAUUUCUGUACACUUCUGAGUAUUUUGCGUCGUUCCAAAUUUGAUAUUUGGUCUUUGAUAUGCUGGCUUUCUGAUUUUAGGCGACGUGAUAAAAAAGCAAAAACAAAUUCGAGUUCUGUUCCAAAACAGUUGAAGAUGGAGAUGCCACGGAUAAGGUAAAUACUUCUAUCCAUUUCAUUAUUGUGUGUUAUGAACCAUUUAGUAAUAAUGGAUCUAAAAUGGUAUCCUGUGUGUUUUUGGACAGUGGUGCAGAGCAUAGCAGUAUUGGAAAGCGUAAAGGUAGAUCCAAAGGUGGAAUAACAAAUCCUGGUAAGCUGUUUAGCGACGGCAGUCCUGGAAGUUCAGGCAAACCAGAAGAGAAGGCCCCAAGCAAGUACAAUGACGACACCCCAAAGACUGGCAAUAGGCUUAAGAAGGAUACUGGUAGCAUGUCCAAGGAUGACACUCCCAAAACUGGUGACAAGUCGGGGGAUGAUAAUCAGAAAACUGGCAAUAAAUCCAAGGAUGAUCUCCCUAAAUCAAGCAGAAAGACAAAGGAUGACACCCCCGAAACUGAUAGCAAGCAAGAAGAUGAUAUGAUUGGUACUGGUGGCAAGACCAAGGAGGCAGGUAAAGGUAAAUCCAGUGAAGAAACUCCCAGAAGUGGGCGGAAAUUCAAGGGCUUAUCUACCAGUCGUAAAACUGGGGAUGAGUCCAAGGCAAAUGGUACGUCCGAGAAAGGAAAAUCAAAGGGCCUAGAGAUUGAGACUACUGCCGGAAAGGUGCACUCAGAUUCAGUGGAGGCACAAGAAAGUGGGGCCUCAGCUGGGAAGAAGCGCAGAAGAAGGGGUCAAAGCUGAAUUGUUUUGUGCUGAUAUGUGUUUAUGUUUGCUCUUUCAUUCUCCGGUAAUUUUCUUUUUACUGCCACAGGUAGGCAUUUCCUUUCCGUUUUGCAUUGCAACAUAGCAGCUGCCUAUCUGGUAGUUCUGGAGCUGGUUACUGUGAAGUAGCUGACAGGUAUUUUAGGAAUUAUGAAGGCUUGUAGUCUUUGGCCUUGCUUUGUUUCCUCUGAAAGAAAACAUGUUACAAGCCUCUAGUAGCUGACAUUGAUGCUUACCCUUUUAAAAGUUCUAGAUGGUAAUGUAGGUUGUUACUGGCGAUCUAUUUAUAUAGUUCAUUUUGGAAAAUUUACAAGAAAUCGUAAUUGUUGGUUACCACUCACUGCACCAACAGCGGUGGUGAUCCAGUUCUUGUUGGUGUUUUUUUUUUUUUUUUCUCUCGUGAUUCUUGUUGGCAAAUGUGGUUCUUAUCCGUAACGAGAGUUUAGCUCCAAUUAUAGAGCGGCUGGAAAUGGUUGUAUUGGUUUCGGCAAUUGUUUAUAUGCUGGCAUGGUCCAUGGGACGUGUGAUAUCGUCUGGACAUGGCAGUAUUUUACCAAAUUUAUACGUUCGGUUGUGGUGCAUUUGAAAUAUGUAUCACAUAACAAUGAUGCUCGUAUCAUGUUGUCUCGUAAUCUUACAGCUAUGAUGCCUGUCUUUGUUUCUUCUUGUUGUAAGUUAGACAUGGUCAAAUGUUUUUUUACCAGGUGUAGAAAUGAAGCGCCCUCGUCCGCCGGGUUUAGAAAUGAAGCGUUGUCGCUCAGAAAAUUCUGUUGCUAUCGCGUGUUAUUUAAAUGUCCACAGCCUUGGGUAGUUGCUCUAUGAAUUUUCGAGUUGGAGUAACUCCCGGAAGGGCUUUAAAAUUGCCGUAGAAUUAACGUUUCGGGUCUCACGGAAGGAUUUUUAAUUUGGGAUAUGAAGUAGAUAUUUUAUUGUGGAUCUAAAACAAGAUUAAAUAAUGGCUCAUGCUUUGGAAGAGUUAGGUUUGCGUUUUGAUAGCUCCCCGUUCCAACCAGAAUUUUUUCGGGGGAGAACAAAAAAGAAAAGUAUUGAGGUGGACUUUGAUAGCAGAUCUGAUAGCAGAAAAGUAUCGAACGACAGAGUGUGCAGGGAGAAAAAGCCUGCGGUCUGUUCAGCUGUGAUGAUAACCGUUAAGCUCACGUCAACUUGAAUAGCCCACUCAAACGUGAGACGAACACAAAUAAACCCCGCGUCCGGCAUAUCCUGCUGCUCAACGAAAUCAAGCAUCGGACUGACGUGAUCAUUAUCGUUAAUUUCUAUCAGACUCGGUGCAUGCUUUAUAAAUCGAUAGUAAUGCUGGUGGUGUCCAUUUAGCACACUCAAGAAGUUUGUCUGGUUACGCCACAUGAAGGAAUUGGUGUGGUGGUGAAAUUUUGGUGCAAUAGACGAGGAUGGUUGAAUCUUUUGUCAACCCUACAUCAUAUCGGCCAGAAGAAAUAGGACUGAAAACAGAUGCAGAUUGGGUAUUGGUAUAUCCGCAUUUCAAGAAUAUAGACAUGGAUAAUAAAGUCGAUUUCUAUAUUUGUUUUAAAAGAAUGAGAGUAUAAAACUGUGGAUAUAAAUGCAAAUACAAAUUGGACAACUAAGCUCUAUGAACUGCCAAAUCAAAAACAUCAUUGUAUGCAAGGUAAAUUGUAUUAAAGAUAAUCAUGAUCAAAUAUUCGAAUAUAUAUUAGAUAACUAUGCAAUACAAAUGCAAUAUGACUAUUAAUUUGAACUUUAAAAAAAUUAGUGUUCAUAUUUAAACAUAUUUAGAUACAAAAACGGAUUGAAUGAAUAUUAUCUUAUCCAUUUUCGCAAUCCUCGUCAGAUGAAUCCUCCUUAGCCCCAAAGCAUUUUCCUUUAUAUCUUGUAUUGUUCAAUAGAAAUUAUGUUGGAUAAGUGUUAAACAAUUAUUUUGGCCUCUUCUUUUUGCUCUUGAGACAAGAUUGUAUGCAACGUACAAUUUGCAAGUUUGUCUUCUAUAUGAUGAUGAUCAUGUACACGAUCCUCUCUUUUUUGUUUUGUAGUUGCUCUCAUAACCUGCACACCACGGACUAAAUAAUUGAUGCUUACCAUCAUUACCAUGAAUAUAUCACCUAACACCAUUGAUGAGAACAGAGCUUGUGAUGUUCUUGUAACUCGAGAUUACAUAAACAAGGCUCCAUUAAAACACAAACGUCUAUCUUCUAUUUAUGUUUAACAUUUAGUUGCCUUUUAUUUAUAUUAUUUUGUAAAAAGGUAGGGUGGUAAUGCUACCUCUCAUGCUUAAACCUGAAACCCCUCACAUAUGUAUCGAUGAACUUGUUCUUGCUCCUUAGUUUCUAGUUGUCAGCUCUAGAGUCAUUAAUUUUAGACAUUAAACCGUUCUUCAAACUCUUAUCUACAUAUUAUACCUAAAAAUUAGUUAGUCAUUGUCCAACUAGAGUAAAUGGUCAAAAACAUUAGGCCAAUCAAGAUUUGGUCAGCCAUUUAUGUUGUCCGCUUGGAAGGUUCAUGUUUAGCCACUUGUCAUUCAUAGAAGAGGCCAUAUGUGGAUGAUUUAAUGUUGAAAUUAAUUUUCUAAAGAAGGUUAUCAUGACUACAGCCAUCCAAAAAGAAGAACAAGGAGAUACGGAAACAAGAUUUUUUUUUUUUUGAUGUAAAAGGGAGGCAAAAAAGAGUCACCCGACUUUUAUUGAAGAUUAAUCAUAUUUACAACAGAAAUGAGGGGCAGAGAUAAGUUAUAUUAUCAAGAGAGGAGAAGAAGAGAUGCGAGAAAAAGAAGCUAAAUAGUUCCAAAUCAAGUGUCUGAUAAUCAGUGGAGGAAAAAAUCUCAUCCAGAUCAAUAAGCAUGAGCAUUAAUUGCCAAAAAGUUUCAAGCAAUUUCACAAAAAUCUUCAAAAAAAAAGCACUAAAAUCCAGAAUGGCCACAAGCUCCAAAUUUCACCGAAGCUUGAGAAAGUCUUUGAAACAAGGAAACAACCAAUUUUCCACCACUAAUUUUCAUACCACGUCUGGUACCUCCUCUGAAGCAUAAUAUAACUGCUAGAAGGCAUAAGAAUAACGAAUAGGAGCUGUAGUUGAAGGAGACAAAGUUGCAAUCCUUUAGUCAUUGAAGAGGCUAAUUGCAGCUGAGGCACAGGUCGAAGACGAGCUGAUCUAUUUUGCAAUGUCUUUUCUUUUCAGGACUGCAUAACAGUUGAACAGUAAGCAGGACAUAAUAUGCUCCAAUCAUAUUUAACUUCUAAGAGGAUAUCUCAGAGAAGAUGUAGCUGGCUGAAAACUCUAUCAUAUGCAACCAAUGGCAGAACCAACUGAAAAGGAAGAACAAGAUCCUCUGCUCGAGCAAUCUGAAAUGAGAGCAUUCCUUAGCAACAAAAAAAAACAACUGAUAUAGCUCAAUUGCAUUAGUCAUCCACAAGCUUAGAGAUCACAUUCUUCACUUUGGACUAAAUUCUUUCUAGCUCCAUCUGCGUAAUAGGAUCGCAUAGCAUCGCCUAAUCAUUGAAAAUUCUAAGUGCCCCUGCAAUAAUCGAGGCAAUUGAAUAUCUUUUAUUUAGGAAAAUUCUGGAGCUCCGCUCCUUCCAACAGGUCCAACAUAUAGCAGCAAUCAAUAUGAGAAUGACAGGCUGAGCACAUUUUGUAAAAUGGUUCAACCUCCAAUCAAUGCAUAGAUUUUUAAAGUUUAGUUGAGGAUGAAGCACCCCAAGAGACAAACAAUUGGUCUUUCAUAUAGUGGAAAAAAACUUACAGGUGCAGCAGAGAUGAUCAACAAUUUCAUUUGUAUCAUGGCACAAAACACAACCGCCAAGAUUCUUGCCCAAUAUUUUUCCAAGAUUGUCUCUAGUGUUAAGCUUCUUUUUCCAACACAACCAAAGAAAGCAUUUGAUUUUAUGUGGUAUUGAAAGCUUUCAUAAUGAGUUAGCAAAUCUACAUUUGAUAUCUCAGGUGUUCAAGAAGUGGUAAAGUGAUUUUAUGGAGAAGGAUCCAUUGCUACUCAAUUUCUAACAUAUUUGGUCUUCUACCUGAUUAAGAGUGACCGAAACCAAGAGAUACAAAAGAUUAAUGAACUGGGUUCGGGCUUUCAAGGAGGCAGAGGAUGGCCUCCUAAACUUCCAAGACAUAGAAUGUGGGUCAUAGUGAUUGGCGAUAGUACCAUUUUUUCUCCUACUAAGAUUAUAUAAAGCAGAAAAUAGGAAUUAAAGGGUGUAUCACAAACCUAAGAAUCUUUCCAAAAUAGUGUAUUAUGUCCCUUGCCAAUUUUGAAUUGAGUUCUAUUCCAAAAGGCAGAGAGAGCAUUAAUAACGUCACGCCAAAGAUUAGAACAUCUUCUAAUAGGUUUCCAACUCAUAGAUAAUUUGACUUUUCUAUGGUAUGCAAAUUGUACUUGCUUUCUCCAAAUUUCUGGGUUAUUUGAAAGAUACCCCCAUCUCCCAUUUUGAUAAUAGAGAGAUAUUAAAUUCAGCCAGAUAAAUUCAGCCAGAUUCUGGACUCCCAAACUCCAUCCUCCUUUUGAAGACAUACUGUACUCCAAUUAACCUUAUAUGAUACUCCAUGACACCUUGAAGAGCUUGACCAUAGAAAAUAUCUUCGUUAUUUAUCAAUCCUCUUGAUCACCCAUGCCGGAAGCUUGUAAAUUGACAUAUAAUAGAUAGGAAGAGAGGAGAGUACAGAGUUGAUUAAUAUUAACCUCUCCCCAAAAGAUAAGAAUUUGCUUUUCCAUGUUGCCAGUCUAGCUUCAACUCUUUGAAUCAAGACCAUCCAAUUAGCUUUGGUAGGUUUACCCCCACAUAGAGGAAGCCCAAGGUAUUUGAUUGGAAGAUAUGAGCAACUACAAUUUAGCCAACCUACAUAUCUUGUUUGUGCCAUGUUGUCCUAUCCAAUAGCUGAGAUGAAGCUUUUAUGAUAGUUAAUAGCAAGCCCAGAUAUUAUUUUAAAACAGUAAAGAAUGAUCUUCAAAGUGGCCAUAUACUCCUUUCUAGCACGAGUGAAUACUAGAGUGUUAUCCGCAUAUUGUAAAAUCUUCGUCUCUCCACAGAUCCAAGGAUUACUAAGCCUUUCAAAAAUCUUAGCCGCUGUGGCUCAGUUGAGCAUUCUACAUAGGGGGUAGGUAGCAAGAAUAAAAAGGUAUGAAGAAAGAGGAUCUCCUUGCCUUAGCCUUCUCAUGCAGAAGAUCCAAUCUCACCGUUCUCCUUGCCUUAGCAUUCUUCAAUCUCACCGUUCACAUUCACCACAAUUUUGCCAGAUACUAGGAUGUUUUCCAACCAGCCUAUCCACCUUGAAGAAAAUUUUCCGACUUGAAGCAGAUUGAGCAACAAUUUAGGAUCAAUUCUAUCAAAGGCUUUGGAGAAAUCUAACUUACAAAUGACUCCAUCCAUAUUAGCCUUUCUUGUGUGAAACAAAAUCUUAUUGGCACAGAAGAUGUUAUCCAUAAUUGAUCUUCCUUUAAUGUAAGCCGUUUGGGUCAAUAAGCUCCUUCAUGAAGGGUUGCAAGCGGCCCGCCAACACUUUGGUCACAAUCUUGAUGCAGCUAUGUUUAAGACUGAUGGGGCGAAAAUCACUCAGUUCCGUAGCAGCUUCUUUCUUUGGAAUUAAUGUUAGGAUUGCAUAGUUGAGCCUAGAUAGGUCAAUGUUGUUGUCAUAAAGUUGUUGAAAGAGAAAGAAGAGGUCGCCAAAAACUACAUCGUAAAAGUUUUGGAAAAAACAGAAAGUAAAGCCAUCUGGACCGAGGCUUUUGUCUCUCUUAAAACUGAAUACAACAUCUUUAAUCUCUUCUAAUGUGAAUGGGGAAGUAACUUCAAUAUGCCUCAUAAAGGAAGAAGAAAGAUUCAUUCGAACAUAUUCAACAUUGCUCUACCACCAGGCUUAUCGUCUUAUAUCUUGCAAUUCUAUAGAGUGCUUGCUCUAUGGAUCCCCUCCUGGGAUUUUAAAAUCCAGUCUUUCUUGGCGUUGAAUGAUCUUCCAAUUAUCAGUGGAUGCAAAUCCAACUUUUUCCCAAAGAGUGAAGGUUCGAUCUACUCUCACUCAAGUAAUCUAGAGUGAAGGUUCGAGUUACUUCGGCAUGGAUGCCAAGGAACCUAUAAAUUGGAGGUUCAACCUAUUUGCACAUGGAGGUAGAGGGACCAUUGAGUAAAUGAACCUCCCACCUGUAGAUCUCGAGCGACUAAAGUUGGUUAUGGUCAUUUUUCUAUCAUUGAGGAAGUAGCUUGACUCACUCCUUUUUUGUAUAGGGUUCGAGUGAUAGAAAUGGUCAUGAUCGAGCAAUGGAGACAACUUAUUCCUUCCUCUUUUAUCAUGAUUAAUUCUGUUUCCAUCAUAAUCAAUCUCAUUAGUUUGAUUCAUUUACCUGCGAGUUAUUACUCCUCUCAUUGUUUUCAUCCUUUGCGUAAUUCUCAUUCUAUUGGAACCGUCGAAGUCCUUUUACUAAGGCAAGACUGAAUUUUGUCUCUCACCUUAGCCAACUCUUUGAUCGAUCUACUCGAUCUGGUAUGCCAGCGACCCGAUCAACUAUAAUUUAGUUUUCGGGAAUAUACUUUUUAGCAUAAGCUAGUUGGAUGGAAUGCCAUAAAAGGCUCUAAGGUAGUAAAUUAAACCAGGGUGAAAAUUUCUUGAGGGAAUGAUCAUAUAGGGCUUGUCGACCCAUCAGUUAACGAACAUGAGUAUCCUUUUCGUCACAAUGACCUCAUGGUCAUAGACAAAGUUUAGUGAUGAGAAACAAGGCCAUGAGGUAGAUAAAGAAUCUCAAUGUGGCCAAAAUAUGACUAGACGCAAAGAUCUUGCUCCUGUAUCAGAUCAUGAUGGCCAACAGGAUGGUCCUGAUAAAGGACAAUCCAAGGAGAACUUGGCUAAAAUAUAGUGGCUGCGUGGUUACCCAAGCAAUGCAAGCCCACUUCAGGAUUCUCAAGAAGUCCCUAGAAGAGAAGCAAAUGAGAAUCAAGUAAUUUAGUUAUAGAUAGGAUCAUGGAUGGAAUUUCAUGUGCUUCUUAGCAGCCAAUCCCUGAGAUCGACAAAAAUGAGAUUGGGAGACCUGCAUGUCCUGGACCAAGAAAGCAAACCAUAAACAAAUUUGAUUUCAAAUAUGAAGAUAUUGAUUAUCUUGUUAGACUACAGCAAGUCUACAGGAUAAAAGACGACUAAGAAAUAGGCAGAAUAUAGCCUUAGAUCGAAAUAUGUUAGAUUAUAUUCCACCCAAGAAGGGUUAAAUAAAGAAAUGGUGAUAUAGUUAUUAACUUAAUUUAUGGGAGACAGAAUUUAUUGGAGAGACUGCAAGACAAUUUGAUCAGACAAUUUUUAAAGGUUUGCAUCCAAAUGAAUAUGAUAGGAUAUAUGAGUAUGAAUACCGGAGUUCACCAAAUUUAUUGGUGAUGGUUUACAUUGCUCAAUUCACUAUACAAUAUGGAGAAUUCAAUCGAGAUGAUUUCAGAAAAUUGGGAGUAUUCACAAGUUCAUUCCAUUGGAAUGUCACUUUGUCACGAAAUUCUAUUUAUAUUUGGCAAGAUAUGGAAGGCUAAUUUCAUGCUUAGCUUUACGAUAAAUCCGCCAGAUAUUUUUUUGGCUAAUUUAACUAAAUCACACUAAAAAAAUUAUGAGCUUGUUGAAUAAUUUUUUUUUUCAAUUUAAGAAAUUUAGAUAAUAAUGCCAUUUAAUAUUACCCAAAAUUGAGUUUUCUACUAAUUGCACAAGCCGGUUUGAAUUGUGCGCUAAGGUAGAAAUCAAAUUCUGAGACUUGCUCGUACCGGCACCAAGUGCUUUCCGAUAUAAAGCAUCACUCGAUGCGGCCCGAAGGAGGGCCGCAUCUUAAGGGUCAUAUUACACAGACCCAAAUUACAAAAUUGCUAGAUGCUCAUGAGUUUUUGCCCUUUUUUAUCAUUUUUUUAUUUUUUAUAUAUGUCUCGUUCUACUAAAAAUUGUGAAAAUUCUUGUACUGGAACAAGAUUAGACUCUAUUCCAUGCAUCUAACUAAAAAAAAAAAAUACUUCUAAUUUUUCUAUUUUUCUCAUCUUCUAAUUCUUUUCAUCUAUCAAUGAAUUAUCUAUGAUAAUUCUCAUAUCUCAUGACUUAACCAGACUCCUUUAUUAAUUUGUUCGAUCUGGCAUGUCAGUGACAUGAUCAGAUAUAGUCUGGUCUCUCAGGAACCGGUGCACAGAGAAAUUGAUAUGGCAUUACUUUUUAUCGAAGAUGCCACUUUAAAUUGCAGACUAAUUCCUAUAGACAUGACUACUAUCAUAUGCGAUCCCAUGACAUCUGUUAUUUGCUAGACAAGAUCACUUGGUAAUUAAUGAUUAUGUCUAUCUUGGACCAUGGAAGUACUCUUGCUCUAUAUCAACNNNNNNNNNNNNNNNNNNNNNNNNNNNNNNNNNNNNNNNNNNNNNNNNNNNNNNNNNUACUCUUGCAUUGAUUCUCAAGCAUUUUUCCGCUGGUUGAAACCAUUGUUGGCUGCAUCUGGAUAUGUUUGCACGGGUGCAAAUUAUCAAACUUUCUUUGCCGAAACUUCAAACCCAUGCAGAGAGAGUUGCAUCAGCUACUCAAUGCUGCAAUCAAGUGAUCUACAUCUUCAAGAAUUAUAACGAUCGAGGAAAGUUUAAGCAAAGCCUCAUUGCUUUCAUAAAGAAAAAGAAUGUUGUAUAUAUCUUCAAGGAUUAUACUGAUACGACUAUUAUGUGGCCUGCAGGCUUGGAUCUUCACUCAGCCGGGUUACGUCAUGGUUGUAAGGUGCAUGAACUUUUUAAUCGUCCAAGUGGUCUCUACGCCCUUGUGUCGUAACAUGAACAUGAAAGCGCAGACCAAGAAAACAAUUAAACGAUUCCGCGUCUCGCCCAUCCAUAUCCAUGCGCGAAGGGCAUAUGCCUUGAUAUUCGCACGACCGCCUACAAGUAAAUUUCUUUGGUUGUAGCCCUCACCUUGACAUGCCAAAAAGUCUUAAAUUCCACUAAACCGGGAAAUGUUGGUGUUGGACAUGCUUGACACGGUCAUCGGGCCGAAGAAAUGCUGGAGGGCUCGGUGGUAAGCUGCUCGGGUUGUAUACUUGUAUAUGGCCGCAAUUUGGAGUGUCUCAGGUCAUGGUUUGCAAUCGAGUUCCGAUUUGAAACAACAGAGAUAAAAAAGCUUUCUUGCCAGAGUGCAUCUAGUAGGGGAUCCCCCAAUGUCUAAGGCAGGGUGAUGCAAAAAAAAUACAGAAGGUUCUCAGUGGGUGAUAGUGUAAUAGUCUGUUAGGGUAUCAGAGUACUUAUUUGGAAGAUUUUCUAGAGAGAGAAUUAUAUUGGCAGAGGCGAGCGUCUGUCGUCUAGGAAUUCGAGCAUGUGGGUCGGCUGUAAUCGACAUGUCUCCACGCGCUUUGAGAAUCAGACGCGGGUGUUUCGCACGCGUAUCACGCCCCACCCAUCUCGUCGGCAUAAUUUCGGAAAUCGCUCGAGAUUACGGCCGAAGUGUCGCCAGCUAAAGGUGUCAUGCUCUAGAUUUGGAACAUUACGUGGUCAUGCUACGAGAGGUACAACUCACGAUAAUACGAAGCCAACAUUACAUUAGCUUUCAAAUCCAUCUAAAAAAUAAUAGAAUAAAUAGGAAUUCAAUUUCAUUAUCCAAUAAUUGCAACCAAUACUGGUUUAGGGCGUCUAAAUCCAAACACAUAAUCCUCAAUAUUCAAAAAAAUAUUAACUACAAAUUCAUAAUCAACUGAAAAAUUAAAAUUCUGCUCUGCUAUUUACAUCGCCAAGCUUACUAACAUGAACUCGAAACCUGAACCAUCCUUCAUUUCUAUUGACUCUAUUUGUCUGGAGAGAUAAAAAGAAACAUAGAGGUAUAUAAGCGAUACAGCUUAGUAAGUAAACCUUCUAUUAUCUUAUCGGAUCAAGAAUAAGUUUUUGUAUGUCAAUACAUCAUUUAAAAAAAUAACAAAUAUUACAAAAUAAAACAUUAUAUAGUACAGUGUAUUAAAACAAGUCAUAAAGCUAAUUAUGCAUUCAUAAAUCAUUCAUAUUUCAUCAACAUGGUUUUUGGUGUAUAGUAUAAAUAAAAUCAUAAAUCAUUUACCAUUUAACCAUAUUAUUGGUCAAAUUAUUGCUUUCAGACUAAAUGCUAAGAUCACUAUUAUACAUGUGGCAGAGUCAUAAUCGACAAACACUAGCUACUAUUAUCCAUUGGUAGGGUCGUAUGUCAAUUACUAUUAUCCACCGGCAUAGUUGUAUGCCAACUACUAUUAUCCGCUAGUAGAGUCAUAUGCCAACUACUAUUACCCGCUGCCAGGGUUAUAUGAAACUGGAUAUCGAUCUAUCCGACUUUUAGGGAUCAUACAUAGCUAUCUUAGAGCCUUUUUGCCGAGAUUUUUAAAACAAUUUUUAUUAAGUCAUAUUUUUGAAUCAUAUUUUUUUGAAUCAUAUAUGAAUAAAACACUAAAUAGCUUUAUAGAGUUCAUAGCCCUUAAAUAAGAAUUUAAGGGUAGACUAAUCAUGAAAUUAUUCUUUUCAUAAUAUAAAUACAGUGCUUAACAGUAAAACAAUGAUGGAACCAUUAUUUCACAACAAAUUAUGAGUUUAAUAAUAUUGUAUACUUGAUUCUUGAUUUUAAGAAAAUAUGAUAUCAUCAAUAUUUAAUACUAUUUUUAUAUUUUCAUAAUACUAGAAAAUAAGUAAAAAUUUGAAAAAUAAUAAGGAGUGUAAGAUCUAUUUACAAGUUCAAAAAUUAAUAAAGAGUAUAAGAUUUACUUACCUCUUUCAUCUUAGACCGUCAGACUUCGCCAGGUGAUUCUGUUAGACCUAUUUAAAAUAUUAAUAGCAAAAUUGAUGACAUUAAUAAAAUAGUACGAGAAGACUUGACCAAGCGCAAGGUGGUUUCAGGUAGGUCAGGCAUGAGCGAUUUGACUAAUAAAUUAUAGGGCACAGACUCGAUUAGGGUCAGGGUCAUUUAAUAUAGAUCAUCAUCAGUGGAUUUCAUGGACACUUAAUAGGACCAGGUGAUCGGUCAAGUAGGCAACUUGGGCACUAGAGCAGAUUAGACCCCUUUAUAGGAGAUCAACUCGGGUUCGUAGAUCAGGUCAACAAGAACCGAUGCUGGGUUCCAUAGAUCUUCUAGAGAGAAAAAGUAGAGAGAAGAGAGAGAAAGUGGAGAGAGAAGAGAGAAAAUAAGAGAGGGAUGACUCUCUCUCUUUCCUCCUCUUUUCUUCUUCUUCUUUUCUUUCUUUCUUGUUAAAACAGAGGAGGAAAGAGAACGAUUGGUGGCUGUGAUCAAGGUGGUCUGGCAAGGUAGUAGCCGGUGGUGGUGACAUCUAGUAGAUUUCAGUCGAUGACAACGGCGUACUUAGAAAAAGGGAAAGAGAACCGAAAUAGAGGUACCCUGUUGCAGAUACAAAUCCAACGAGGCUUUCCGGUGACUCUUUCUGGCGACGAAGUGAGGAGGAGACUCGGAAAGAAUGCUUGGAAUCGGCAACAAUCUUUGGUGAUUCCGGUGGAGGAAAUCCAAGGAGGGGGAGGGGGAUUAAAUAGGUAAAGUCUCCGAGUUCUAGAUGAACUCGAAUUGCUUUGGGAGUGUCCGAUUUCCGCCGGAAGCGAAAGAGAAAGAAGAUUCCUAUCUUCUUGUCUGCUUCAUCGUGCCACAGGAAAGGUGGCCUUCGGCUGUCCUCUUCGGGCCGGCUCACAAGCGUAAAGCAAGUUCGGGCCAGUCAAUAGACCCGAACUUUGGUUGUUGAUUCAGAAGCCGCAUUUAGACUUGCUAUGUAGCAAACUUUGGUUGUUGAUUCAGAAGCCGCAUGGCGGGCUUUGAUUGGCCGGCCCUUUAUAUGGUCUAUUUUGAGACCCAUCAAUUGGAUUCUCCGAUGCGAUCACAGUGGGAUGCAAAAUAAACUAGUUUUUAUUUCUUAUAUGUUUCUUAUGUACGUGAUUUUGUUUGCUUCACUUCCAAAAGCAUAGCACCAAAUGCAUGUAUAGCAGCUGCUCCUUUUUAUUAAAGAGCAGCAAUAAUACAGCUGUUGAUGAUGUCCUGCCACAUGCUAGGCCAUGUACCAUGCUGCAUCAAAAUUUUUAGUGCAUCGGCAUAGAAUAGUGGAUGAGAUGGUUUACAUGAAGUAAAACAGGAUCUUGUAUCAUAAUUCUCUGGUGCAAGUUCGUUUUAACUGAUAUCCCCUCGGAAGAUGAAGGAACAAACAUGAAUAGGUGGAUGUAACAGAGACAAGACUGUCAUAUGCCCUGCAUUUGGUCGUCUUCUCCCAUGCCUAGACAAGUCGCAGACAGCCGCACGCAAAUGCCUCCAACAUCUCCAUCCCCACCCAUAUCACUCUCUGUGUUUGUGGAAUAUCUGGAUUGCUAGACGACACACGCUACCCGAGAAAAGAGAGCAACCACGACGUGCAAGAGAGAGAGAGAAACAAAACCCCACCUUAGUCGCCUGCACAUCUCUCCUUUCUAUUAUUAUCAUCAAAGCCAUCAUAUCAUCGUUGCUAAAGCCCUUAUAAAAUACUACAUAUUAUACUAUUACUAACUGUUUGACUCUUCACACUUUCAACAGAAAUAUAUACACGCUAGUAGUCAUAAGUUACAUAAUCACAACCCCGGUUAUAGACCAUGUAGCAAUCCUCACUCAACACGCACUCCCCUUUUGCAACCAAGGCUACAAUAAUUAUGGCAAUCUUUAAUCGAAGCAUCCCCACCUCCAAAUGUCAUCACCAGUGCCAUCAUUUCCGCCCUUUGACCACCUCACCAAACCCAACCGCCUUCGCUUCCUUUCUCUUUUAAAUUCAAGGGGAAAAUUUUACACAGUAUUAUCGCAUCAUAUAGUUUAAUGUUAAUCAUUGCUCUGGAGCAUUAGUCACCUAUGCACAGCCAAUCGUAAGACGACAAACUUCGAUUAAAAUUAAACACAAAAGAAGGCUUGGAUAAAGACUGAAAAAAAGUUGAUUCAGAGGAGAAAAGCAAAGAGAGGAAAAAAAAAAAAGCUGAUGGAGAAAAAGGGAAGAACGGAGCUGUGGGGUGGUUGACGCCUUCCUCUUAAGUCCAAGCAAAUACGGCCGUCAAGACGCCGACGUCCUUAUUUCCGUAGACUCCGUUUGACGUGCUUUGCCUCUUUAUCCAUUCUUUUCCCCACAUAGAUUACAACCAAAAAGCCUUCUCUUUUUCUCCCCCAGUUUUUUGAGGGUCUUAGCUUAGGGUUUGGAGACGGAGGCAGCGUCCUUGACGAAGGGCCGGGAGACGUCGUUGUCGGCGCCGUUAGCUAUGGCGGACUGCACCGUCAGCACGGACAAGCUCGGCGAAGGGGGGGCAUCGCCGCCUCCUCCGGCGGUGCCGGCGGCUGCGUUGCUGUGGUUGGGAGGUGGUAAGGCCGGGAUGAGUCCGGAGGUCAGGUGGUGAGCGGCCCCACUGUUUCCCGCCCCGCCGACGCCUCCGACCCCCGGGCGGGGGUGGCAGGUGGCUGAGAUGGCGGAGGCGAGGGAGAUGGGCAUGAGGCAGAGCCCCUUGCCCUGAAGGUACUGCAUCGCCGACCCCAUGUCCUCCUCCAUUAGCUUCGCCACCUGGUGCUCCGUCACCGUUAAGCUGUCGUUACCCGCCGCGCCGUUACUCCCGCCCCUCCCGCUCUGCCCCUGGAUCCAAUCACCGCCAAUCCCUUUUAAAUCCUUAUUAUUUUCAUAAAAGAAAAAAAAAGAAAGGGUAUCUUGGGGAUUCUACAGGUGGCACGCGUGCCGCUGUUGCUGCUGUCCUGAUCAAUCGCUAUCAACCAGAAUAAGAUAUUCCGGCGUGUAAAUAACUCCUUGCCUUUUCCCGACUAGCGGAAAGAAGCGGAAGUCAUACGCCAAAUCGGGGCCGGACCAGGCCGACCGGGAAUAUCUUAUACCGAUACUAACUAAGAAAGAAAGGAAGAGGGAAGGGUAAGCGAAAGCUACCUCUGAGGACAUAUCAGCCACAAGUGGGGCGACCGCCGCUGCCCCACCUAACCUACUCAUGCUCAGCACCUGAUUUGGAUACGGUGUACCCGACCACAGAGAAAUAAGGGAGGCGCAUUAGGUGUAUAAAUCUAACGGUUAAACAAAGUUUAAAUAAGUAAUUAAUAGAACACCAGAACGAUACGAUUUGCGUUAAUAAUUAUUUAUUUGAUAAAAAGAGUAAGGAGACGAGAAGUUGCCUUGACUUGGAGCUGGAGGAAUUUCACGUAGUCGAUGAUCUCAUCCAGCAUCGAGGCCUUGUCCGUCUGUCAUUCAUCCAAGCAUUUUAAUAACAAUAAUCAGUAGCUAAAAUUUGUAUCAAAAAAAGAAAAAAAAUAAAACUCAAAUAAACAGUGAAAGUGACAAGAAUAUCCUUGUCCCGAGACAAGUCGCUUGGAAUUGCGGUCCAUUACGCCGGCGGCGUGACGAGUGCUCCACUAAGUCGGCAAAGCGACGCGUUUGGUUUCGAAAAGUGCGGCGAACCAACGCGACGUCCGAGCAGGGGAUGUCUCUGGGGAGCCGCAAGCGCACCAUUAGAUUUCUACGAGCUCUUGUUAUGUUCUCGAAGGACAUAAUAAACGAAAAACGAAGGGCCGGUUCCCUUUCUCCAACUAGCAUCCGACAAGCGGACACACGGUUUCCCGGUUGCCACAGGUCAUCCAGAAACCCAGAUUCUAUGGUUACUGGAAUUUACAUAAAUGUCCUUCUAAAUCAAUCCUCUAUUUCGGAUGUAAUGGUGCUGAUGUUGAUGAUGCCAAAACAAAGAGAACUUUGCACUGUAGUUAACCCAACAAGUUAUGGAAUUGGGCAUGCCACCCAUAAUACAGCUGUUUCCACGUAUACGAAACUCCUACUACAAUUGAUAUUCCGCCAAAAAUAGGAAUAUACCAUGACUUGGUCCUCUCCAACAGCCACGUCUCGAUUGCUUUUGACCGGUUUGAAUUGAUUUAACUAACAACCUUUGGUCAUUAACAGAAGUCUAAACCCCCGUCUGAGAUGAUCUAAUGAAUCCUCGUUCACGAAUCUGAUUGGUCUCUAGUAAGGGUCACAUCUGAUGUUGUUGCAAAUUUUAGUGCAAAUUAGCUAUCACCGUUUCACGUCACAUUUUCUACUGGACAAGGAGUGUAAAGGAUGGGUUAUUAUUUUCUAUCUAAGAAGCCAAUUGUGGUCAAGAAGAAGGUCGGGGGUGGUUAGUGCAAACAGUCCAAUUUGUUAUGGUGUGAAUGUAAUCAUCGAAAAUGAGGAGUUUAUCCGUAAAUUUGAAUUUAUAUGGGCAGUUAUAUGAAUAAAAAUUAGAAAGGAAAAAGACCGGAAGAAAACAAGAGAGUGAGGAAGAAGACAGGUGGACCUUAUUGGCGUUUGGCACCAGCUCCUGGAGAGCUUUCAUCCUCUCUGCGAUUCUCUCCCUGCGAAGCUGCGCACGGAAAGGAAAGGAACAAAAAAAACACAGAGCCAACGACUCCAUUAAAAGCGUGCAUACAAACAGAAGAAAAGGAGAAAGAUGGCAGAGAAAAGAAAGAAACAGAUCCAAAUCCAAAGGAGUAACUGCCACUUCGCAUUUAUUGCGCCCAAUUAAUUUCUCCCUCCCUCAACUUUUUUUAACAUUUCGACAAUAAAAUAGGUUUUAUUUUCGGAUUACUCGUUCGGCGAUGCUGUGGGGAUCCGUCGCCUGGCCUCUUCUCGCCCGCACCCGCUGCCUCGGCGGAGCCGUACCGCCACCGGAGGACGCCGCCGCCGGCGAUCCUCCAAAGUUCUGAGCCGGCAUCGACGCGCCCUGUUCGUUUCGAAUUUAAUAAUUAAUACCAAAAUGCUCGUAGAAAGACCGUCAUUUUACCAGGAAAACUUAGGGGGUGGAGAACCUGGGGACGGUGGAAAUGCUGUUGCGUGGCUGCUUCAGCAGCUUGCUGAAGCGAUCCGCCGAAUCCGUUGUAGAGCCCUUCCCCACCCUGGCCCCAAAAGGAAAAAAAAUAAUAAAAGUAAAAUAAAAUUUCGAAACCAAUGAGAGAGAAAGUAGUGGAAAUAAAGGAUCGUACGGUGUGAUUGGGGCAUUUGAAGGAAGGGUCGACUUCGCCUCGAGAUCUGUCCACGAGAAGGCGGGAAUCGGCCGAGCCGCCGCUCCCUAGGCUCAGUGGCAGCGGAAGAAGCCCGGAAUCCCCGCCGCCAGCGACCACCGGAGAUCUCCCCAUGCCCUGGAGUAGCAUCUGCUGCUGCUGUUGGUGGUGCUGGUUGAGCUGAAGCAGCAUCGGCUGCUUCCCAGCCGGCGAGCUCCCGCCGCUGAUCUGGUGCUGCCGGAGCUGGGAAGCGAGCAGCACGGACUCGUCGUAUGGAACGUAUUGGAGCCCCUCCGCCGCGACGGCGGCGGCGGCGGCGGAAUCCUCGGGCGACUUCCCGGCGAGGCCGUUCGGGUUGGAAGAAGAGGUCAGGUCCCAGGGAGACUUGGGGUUGCCGAGGUCCGGCCAGGAGGAGGGAAGGCUGCAGAGCAUCUGGUCGAGGAAGUCGUCGUGGCCAUCGGCGGAGUGGCCAAAGUGCGAACCCGGGACCUGCAUGCCAGUGUUCUGGAUCUGCUGCUGCCGGUGGCCGUCGUGGAGCUCCUGGAGGGAGAUCUGGGCCGCGGCCGCCGCGGCGCCGGCGGACGAGGAUAUCCCAUUCAACGGAGAGCCCAUCCCUUGCAUUUCUCUGCUGCUCGGCUGCAUGGCCUCGUUAUCCCGAAAACUAGGGUUCGAGUUAGGGUUAGGGUUGGAAUAGGGGAAUUCGAAAGAGGGAAGAAACAGCUCUUCUUCUCCUCUGUUGUAUUCUCUGGGCGGAAUAAGAAAGCGGUGGUUGUGGGAUUUGGGAGAAAAGAGCCCUUGAAGAAGACGGACAUCUCGUAUCUAGUUGCUAUUUAUAACUAUAUGAAUGAUGAUCAAUUUAUCAUCAUAAUUUCUGGAUUAAUUUGGGGGAAUUGACCGGGGUUAAUUAAGAAGGGGAGGUGAUUAGGGGUUGGAUUCGGAUCGCUCGGGUGCUUCCUUUUCCUUAUCAUGAGUGCGGGGGCUGCGGCACAUCCGUCAGAUCACGCGACGAGAUGAUCAGGUCGGAUGGAAGCUGCUUUUAUGGCGGACCAAAGCAAAGCAAUAAUUCGGUGCUUUGACCGGCGGAGAUUUCACGGAGUGGAAGGAAGUCAGAGUCAGAGAGUUAGGUAACACGUGCGGAGUCCCUGGAGAUAAGGCCGACGUGCGCGUUCGAUCUGGUUCAGCAUUGAACCAACUUGCAAAUAGCGACCAGAUGCGCAAUUCAGUCCAGACCUCAGAUCAAGUGCAUCUCCAACAAAUUGUACCUCCAGAUUGGUCUGAAAUUGAUAGGAGAGUCAUCAUCCUGCAAUCUUGCAUCAUCUUCUUAGUAAUACAAUGGCAACUAUGCAAGAUCUCACCAGAUAUGCCAGAAAGCUUGGAUGGUUGAGAAGGAGAGCAUGUCAUGGAGCUUGCUUGAGCGAGGCCUCGAUAUGUGUGCGGGCAUGCUAUCGAUAUUGAGGUAGUCGAAAAGAUUUGGAUUGAAGGAAGGAUGGACAAUAGCAUGAACCUAGGUAUCUUGAUCUUCAAAAACUUUUGCCACCAUCACAUCACCAUUCGGAUGAAAUAGAAAUGGAUAGAAGUGUAGCAUUGGGCUACGAAAAAAGAACGUAGGAUGGCUUAGAGCAUAGCCCUAGGCUACAGUAGAUAAUUUAAAUUAUGCUUACUCAUAAGAUAAAAGGUAAAGAUAAAAAAUAAAUUGUUGAAGGGCUCUUUUACAAAGAACAGUUCCACUUAUUUAUACUAGUACAUAACAACUGUUUUUGGGCACGUUAACUAUCUAUUACUAUGCACGUAUAUAAGCAUAAUCAUUGUACAACUACCGAAUUGAUAGUCAUACCUUGUGUUGGCCAUUUUUCCUUAUUCGACCUUUAAUAUAGUCCUCUAUUUUUAGGAAUCCAAGACCCGCAUAAUUGCCUUGGUCUUCUACUCCAACGGCUCAAGAUUUGAGCUUACAUAGCCAAACUCUCUUUAGUCUUAGCAAGAGUCAUAUGUUUCUCAUUCGCCAUAAUUCUAUCAAACUUAAUCUAUAUGACACUUGCCUUGGCUGUCUGCUAGAUUAUUGAGAUAUGGUGUCAACACUUUCAAAAUAAAAUCUCCUUAUCUUUAAAAUAAUGCUUAUCAUUCCUUUGAUUUUAGACGGUUGUGGCGAUAAAGUGAUGACAAAGGUGUACUAUAAACUAUCCCACAUUUGUUGUCAACUAGCGUUUUUCAUGCAUAAGCCAUUAUUCUUUAGGAGCAUUGGAAGUCACAUAUAUUGAUGGGGGGCAAGUAAAAUUAAGAGUUCAGAUUAUCUAAAAUGAUACAAUCUUGGACUCCUCUCAAACCAUCUCCCAUGGUCAUUGAGGAUAAGGAUUUUUUUUCCCAGUCUGAGAGGAAAAGGAUAUAUUAAACCUUAACAUAAUAUGAAAAGAAAUAUAAAAAAAAUCGUCUUCAAUUGGAACAUCUUUUGCCAUAACAAAGUACUAAAACAUCACAUAUUGUUGGGACCAGACGUUCCAUUCAUCAGUGGCUAGAGAUAAAGAUUAAAUUUGAGAUCUGAAAAUCAAGACUACAAAGAGCAAAACACUAGCAUAACCCACUUCUCCCCCAGUCAAAACCUAGAAAGUUACUGGAUGGUCGUUCAUAUGAAAGUCCAACUAGGAGACCAUGGGUCUCACUCAAACUAAAUGAUCUUUUCCUCAACUUGGCAAGCAUUGGAUGCAGCAUUCAUAGUAGUACAGGGGGUUGCAGGUAAACAUCAAAGUGGAUGCCGAUUAGUCGGACAAAAUGAAGAUAAUGAUCUUGACAUUUUAAGAGACAGGACAGGGGGUUAGUAUAAGCAUACUGUACAUCUAAAUGAUGAGAAAAUUGUAUAAAAAUUUUGAGAGAAUAUUAUAUAUCUAAUUCAAGCUUAAAUAGUCUUAUCGAUCUAAGGGAAUUUCAUCUUUGAGUUUACUAGGUAAAUGUUAUUGUUGCCAUCCAAAAUCCGAUUUGAUGAUCAAAAGGCUCCGAUCCGCGCUCCAGUGGUUCAUGAGAUGUUGUUGUCCCGCACAACAAAGAAAAGAAAGGCUCACCAGAUUAACUCUGGUCGGAUACUCUGAUACCUAAGUUAGAGAGGGCUUUGGAGGAAUAGAAAUGGGACAAGCAAAAAGACUAGAGAAAAAAGGAUAAUUGAUGGAGAGUUCGAAUACCUCUUUGGGUGUUUGUUUUUUUUUUUUGUAAUUGAUGAAGAGUCUUUCUUGGAUUCAGGUUCUAGAGUCCUUAAUUCAAUGAGAAGAGUUCUCAGCUUUUCUUACCUGGAUCAGCCCAACAGUUCGAAUUCAAAUAAAAUUAAACUUCUCUACACCACAUAUCAUAUUUUAGCCACAUCAAAGUGCAAAGAGCAGGACAAUCUAGCUGUGCAACUUUUUUUUUUCUCUGAGAAUUUGUGUUACAUUAACAUUGCUCAUUUUGAUUGGCUUACUUGCACAAUUUGAGGAUUCCACCUGACAGGCCAAUCUAGCCUUAAUCUGUCAGCUUAGAAAGAAGUAACUCGUGUGAAAAGAUGCGGUUAAACCAUCAGUCGUAUUGAUGACCUCAUUGCUCAACACGCUUUGGUGGGCAAACAGACCCUAGCUGCUUGAGUAAUCACAUGACUUGAGACUCUGUAUGAUGGCCAAUAUCAGUGGCCUCAGCAGGCAAGGAACCUGAGAUUUAGAACUGUUCUUCCGUACGAAGAGACCUUUAUUUAUUUAUUUUUUUCCUGAGGUCAGUAGGAGACCUUCUUUUGUAGUCAGGACAGAGCUUGCUUAGACUAGAAUUAUCUUUAGCAAAGGGUGCUCGUCCUAGCUAAAUAAAUAGGUGUUCAUCCUUGUCUUGUUUCAAUCACAAAUCAACUUUUUCCCUUCUUUUUCUCCGCUGGGCCACACUCUCUUUACAACACAUCCACUAACAUUUUAGAAAAUUAUGGCAGCUUUCUCCAUUGCAUCCAAAAGCCUGUCCUUGUAGGCCACUCAAUCCACUACGCCCACAAAAAGAACAGGAGACUAAUUGCUCCAGUAACCAUGGACAGCCUAUGCCUGUUUUGACGUUGGUUCUAUUAAUUUCUGGGAGAAAUACAGGCAUUAUUGGACCAAUGCCAUGUAUGCCCAUAAAUAGUUUGAUGCAGGACAACAGGAAAAAAGAGGGAGAAAAAGAGAAGAAGGAGAGGAGAAGAAGAAGGAAAGAGGAAGGCUUCGUACCUAGCCCUAGCUCAAGACUUCACACUAAGGCUAAAAGAAGAGAAUAAUCAUUUUUCAUUCAUCAUAGCAUCAUCCCCCUAAACAAUGUACCGACCCAUAUAUAGGGUUCCAAAAUAACAAAAGACCCCUACAAAGAAAAUAAUUGCAUAAAAGUUCUAAAAUAACAAUAUGCAAAUAAGCUCAUAAAAUAAAACAAAAUAACAUAAAGUCAAUCUAAAAUAAUAUCAUAAGACUAGAACUGGCUGGACCGGUGGCAACCGUAGACUCGAGUGAUGGCUGACUUAGCACUGGUGUCCACACCAUAGUUUUUAUUAAUAUAGCUCACUGGAGAAAUUCUGACAUCUGUAUUGUUAUUAUUAUAAUAGUUGCACAUCAACAUCUGUGAUUCUGUAUAGCUUAUGGAUCUGACCAUCUUUUGGGGGUUUCUUUACAAAUUUCCGAUGUUUUUUCUACCAGAGAGUACCGAAUAAACACUCUAAAGUUUUUGCCAUCAUGUAAGAGAAUCCUUUAGCCAUUAGAAUCCAGAUGAUAUUAGACUAUGUUACUUAUGGGGUUUUCUUUCCUGUUUUUUCAUUUUGUAAGAUCCAUCCAAGGGUGAAGCUUGAUUUGAGCUAGGCCCAGCUUCAAUAAUUUGCAUGCUUUGGCCAAAUGAGGAGCAUUGCAUGAACGGCUUUCACACCGUAGUGCGUGAAAUGAGGUCCAUUCUACCCCACGGAUGGCUCCCCAGCCUUCAGAGUCCAUCUCCUGCUGCACUCCAGAUCUUCCGCGUUGUAAAACAGUAGGUUAGUGGGUGUCUGAAGGAGUUGCACGCCGAGCACCAGGAUCUCAUGAGCUGGAGCUCUGUGUGCAGAUUGCUGUGAGGUGGUGCAUUCAGGAAUAGUUGGUCCAUCUUUCAGGGGCAGACAGCUGGUGCCAUGCAAACAGUUUCAGAGCAAGGUGGUGCAGUUAAUGCUUCCUUCUAUUCGAUUUGUUGGGGCUCAUAAGGGGUACUUAUACAGGUUCAAGAAACCCAAAUAAUACGUUCCGACUAGCUAUUUUGGGCGAGGUUUUGGGUUGUUAUACCUGGCUUAGUUGCUUUACGGCAAAGGUGAAGCCUAGGUUAAACUACAAAAAAUUUAGUCUUUUCUGAUGCUUUUAGAGCCUCUACCAACGCUUAUAAGUAUUGAUAAUUUUGGCGCUGACCCUUCCAAAAGAGUCGUAUAAAUGGGGGUGGAAAUUUUUUUUGCCGACGCUUUUUAAAAGUGUCGGCAAAAAACGGAAGCUAUGUUAGAGUUCGCCGACGUUUAUAAGCGUGGGCGGAAACUGAAGAUAGGCCAACGCUUAUAAGUGUUGUUAGAAUUAUUUUUUUAAAAAAUAAAAAGAUUAAUUAAAAAAAUCUGAUUCCGUGGUUCUUUUACAGAUGCUCGAUGUUUCUUUUACAAAAUAUAUUUUAUAUGAUAUUUUUUUACAAAUUACAAUGGAAGAGACUGAUCAAUGGUUCUCUCAAAUUCCGUUUGCAUCUCCUUUGCAUCCCUAAAUUACAAUGUGGAUUAGAGAUGACCGUAUAUUUUUUAACAAAAUGGAUAGGAUUAUAGAUGAAUGCCACAAAAUACAAAAAAUAGUAAACAAAAACAUACAACCCACUUCAUACAAGCUUCCGACUUCUUUCUGAUGAGGGGUUUGGCAAUGGGGACUGCAACGGCGCCCUCCGCUUCGAACAAGCUUCCGGCAAUGGGGAUUGCAACGGCCCCCCGGUCCUCUUCGGGCUUCGCCAUCUCAUCAGAUUCUUGGAUCAUUUUUCGAACCACGAGCGUCGAUCCCUCGAAUGUGGAACCGAAGAGAACAGAGAUCUUGAAAUUUCUCUGGGAUCGUUUGGGAGGCAUGGCGUCGAUCGAAAAAAUUGUAGAGCUUCCUGAAAAAAAUUCAUACAUGUAUGACAUAUAACCUUAAAACCAAAACAUAUAACCCCAAAACUCUAAUACUCCAAUUGAUCAAACAAAUAGAGAAAGAUGACUCGAGAAUCAAAAACCUAGGUUUCUAGGUUGGAAAAAUGAAGAAACGCCACUCGGCGAUCAUACUACAACUGGUCCCGCCUAUAGUGUUAGUGUUGAACACACAUAAGUAUAGGUUUUGUUGUCCUUACAACGGUUGUCAAAGACCAGAAGCUGGAAACAUCAUUUUUUUCAUUCUUUUUUUUCUUGCCUUAACUUUUCUUUGCUUUGCAAUACACUAAAACCGGAAAGGAGAUCCCGAGUGCAAGAAAAAUCUGGUGAAAUUUUCACGCGGACAAAUUCAUAGCUCGGAUGCAGUAAUAUCUAGGGAUUUUCUCGCCAAGAUGGAGAGAAGAAGGAAGAGGGGGGUUGGGGAGCUUUCAGCUAGGGUUUUUAGGGUUUCCAGGGUCGUGGCAAGAUGGAGAGAAGAAGGAAAAGGGGGGUUGGAGAGCUUUCGGCUAGGGCUUCCAGGGCUUCCAGCAGGGUCGCGGCAUUUUAUAAUAGGGGCAUAGGGUGGGAUGGUGUCCGAUGACGCUUAUAAGCAUCGUCGACACCAUGGAUUUUCUCUAGGCCUCGGUUGGCAUCGACGACGCUUUUAGGCGACGUUUGGCUCAGAGUUUUUAAGAGAAAAAUUAGUGUUAAGUGGGAUGUUUAGCGAGUAGGAUUCCGCCGAUGCUUCUCUUUGGCCGUCAAUGAUGCUUAAAAGCGUUGUCUUACAAUUUGCUUUUCAUGAUGCUAAUUAGGGUCAUUUUAGUUUCAUCUCUGCCGAUGCUACUAAAAAGCGUCAGCAAAUUUUUGCGUGUUCGCAAAAUUGCCAACACUUCUUUUUUGCAUCGGCAGAAAAAAGUCGAAAAAACUAAUUUUUGCUGUAUACAAUCUCAAUGGAGCUCAAUUAUGAUUUGAAAAGAAGAAGAAAAAUAAAAGAAGAAUCAUGAAUAUGAUAAAGAGAGGGGGUGGGGAGAAAGAAAGAAAAAGAAAGCUCAAUCCUGCAGUCUAUUUCUAAGCAGACCGACCGAUGAGGCGAGACCUAGCUCAAUCCCUUCCUUUUGCAGUUGCUAUCUUGCCAUGGAUGUAUGCACAUGGAAAAACAGCUCAGCACAGUGGCCCAACCAGGCCAACAUUGUGCGCACAUCAUGCAAAACCUUGGCAAGCUCAGGUAGGCAAGAACUUUGAAUAAGACCUUAUGGAAUAUGAAUAUGACUGCAAAGUUGCACGACAAUAAGUAGAGCUAAGAUCGGAAUAUGUUAUGUUCUGUUCGUUUGGAAUGAUAGAGUAGUAAAGAGGAAGUCAAGCUAUAACGAUACGUGCCGUUUUUUUUUUUUUGUGAAAAAUAAGGUACCUUCUUAAGCUUUCAAAGCAGAAGAUUGAAACCUCACAAUAAGUAUAUACUUAAUGGAAAAUUUUCAACCACGAUGGAUGGGGAAGAGGAAGUCCCUAGUGGGGUUUUGAUCAUAAUCACGAUUAAAACCAAACUAGUCUCAAUUGGUUGGCUUGACCUGAUAGCUGUUAAAAUCACGACUUAUCCCAAAAGCUUAAGUUGAUAGGAUGAGAUAAAUUUAUCUAUAUAUUUUAUAAUUUCUUACACUCUUCCUCACAUAUUGGCUCGAUACCAUAUUAAAAUCACCACUUAUCCCAAAAACUUAAGUUAAUAGGAUGAGACAGAUUUAUUUAUAUAUUUUAUAUUUAUAGCACCAGACUAUUUACUCUGCAUAUUUCAAAAGCAUGAAAAGCUAAUACAAACAUCAUAAUCCAUAUUGAUUCAUCACUUUAAAGGAGUCCUCACAAGGUUCAGUGAGGUGCAGGAGGAUGGAUGCUGCAGAACCCUACAUAUACUGCAAAAAUCUGACUCAUUGCUACAGAAGAGGAAAAGGGGGAUCAAGUGAUUGCGUCCUGAAGUACAAUAACAAGCCAAACAGUUCUUUGAUUCAUCUUGCUGCAUUCUUCAUUUCAGCUUCACCACCAUAAAUCACUUGAAAAAUGCAUCCAAAAUGUUCCAAGAAAAUUGCUACAUGAUGCAUUUGUUGCACAAUUACCUGGUACAAGAGAAUGUCUUUUAGGCUUUCCUUUGAAACAAGGAAGACUCUGCUUAAGAAGUGACAACCAAGGAUUGCAUGUUUGGCUCCCAAUUAGUAGCUCACCUAAACAGAGUUUCGUCCUUAUGAUGUGAGACCAGCCUUGUGGUGUCCCUCCACCAGCAUAUCUCUCUGUCCCUUUCACGUAGCAUUCUCUCAGCACAAUCCAGUGCAGAUUCGAGCUCUGCUAUCCUCUCUUGCUGUCUUGUUUCUAGAAGCUCAUGCAAUCUCCUUUCCAGCUCACGCGGGUCAACCCCACAGCGACAACUUCUCUCUUCGGCUUCGUCACCUUCUUCAGAACUUUGGCUGAAGUUCUCAGAAGGAUCCGCAUUCCCACUUGACUGUAAGUAAGUUGGUAUGUUAUGUUGGUAACAUAAAGAUAAGGACAUGAAUGUCUAUAUUAAUCUAUUGACAAAAUACAUGCAUAUAUUGUACAUAUAUUUAGUUAGACUUGAUAUAAUGUUUUCUCACUACACAUUUAAUUAGACCUGAUAUAAUGUUUUCCCCUUUGAACUCUCAAAAGUACUUGAAGUUUGCACAUCACUCUUGAACUGCUUAUUCUUCAGCUAAACCUCUCAGUUUUAAUUACAUUGAAGACAUCAUCUUCUACUGAUCCAGCCUUUAUUGAAACCUGGAAGUAAUGCUGGGAUAUCCUUGACUCAUCCAAUAUCCCUAGCUGAAAUUGAUAAAUUAUAAUUAGUUAAAAGAUAUAAUUUUGUGCUUCUCCCCUUUACUGCUAGCUUAAAGAAGACAUGGAUUUUACUUUCCUUGUAGCCAAUUCAUCUGAUAGGUUUGUCAUCCAAAUCUAAAGUAUAAACAGGAAUAUCUGAUCAUAGCUCAAACUAAAAUAUAAUUUACACUUUCAAAUUCCUCUGGGUUUACGCAUGGGUUUUGAACCAUCGUAUCGUCUUUGAAUCAGGAGUCAAAUGAAGGUGCUGGCUUACCAAGCUGGUAACUUUUGACAUGAGAUCAAAUCCGGAUUUAACCGGAACUCGGGGGGUCAGAGGAAUUUUCAUGGAAGGCUACACCACCAUGUUAUAGCACAUUGCCUACAAGCGCUUUCAAUCAAAAAAAGAUAGGGAUCAAGCCUAUUAGCUAGAGGUUGCUAAAGAGUAAGGUGACAUCAUGGACGACAGAAGAAAAAAGACAAUAAAUUGUAAGCAUCUAAUUUUAAAUUUUCAGGACUGCACAAGCAUCGUCAAAGAAACAAAAGGAAAAUGCCGUCAAAUUCUAAUCAUUGUGGCAGCAUAUAUAACUAUAUUCACGAUCAAGUAUUGGCAGCAAUUGUUGCAGUGACUUACAAGCAGGAAACAGAUAUCUACAAGAAGAAAGCAAAAGUAACAGAGCUACAUGGAGUGGAGUUCUAUUGUAACAUGGGAGUACUGAAAGUAGGAUGACCAGUAACAAUGUCGAGUUUUUAGUUCAUUAUCAGAGGCUUUGUAACCUAAAUUGAAUUAAUACAUGUCGCAUAUGAUACAUUUUCUCCAUACAAGGAAGGCAAAACAUUUUUUUUAAGAAUAAUACCUCCAUUUUGUGUGGUUGUAGAUAGGCAGAUGAAUCUUUGUCUUCCGAAUCGAGUCGCAGACGUUGCAGUUCAACUUCAAGCUCUGCUUCUAUUUGAUCAAUCUCCAAGCACCUUUUGCUCCUUGUGGCUGUCUCACACUUCGACUGUGUAGCAGAUUCCAUGGCAGUGUGCAACAUUGGCAAAUGGCAAGAUGCUCCAUCAUUUUGCAAAGAUAUGGAAUUGCCUGUAUUUCCAUUUCCAAAGCUAUUCGAUGUAGAAUAGCCAAUAAUAUUAUUUGACACUGUAUAGUUAGGAGGUAUUUCCUUCCUCUGGAUCUCAUCCUUAAUGUCUUUAAGCAGCAUUUCCAUCUGCGCCCGCAGUUCUACCAUCUUAUUGAAUUCAGUUGCACUCCUGGCUAAGAGAAAGACCAGACCUAUCCCCAUACCUAGGUUUAAAGAGACUUCUUCUGGCUUCCUUCCUGAAUGAAGCAUGUAUUUCCAGUUAAGGAUUAAAAAUGGUUUCAUCAAGAACACAAAAGGGAUGAUGAUAAAAGGCUCCUUCAUCACUUGCCAUCUCUAGCAAUUUCAGCACAAGAAACAGCAGUGAAUAUGUAUUAAGUUAAAUGAAAGGUACAGCCAUGAUGCACAUAAAAGAAUACCAUUUCAGUGAUGAACUGCUAUUAGAAAAAUUUUAUUUGUCUCAACAAAGAGAAGAGAAGAUACAAAAACGUUCAAAAUACUUCCCAAAAAUUUUUUGAAAUGCACAGGUCUUGCCAUACAUGAUCAGAAGUUAAAAGCAAAACGCCAUAAUUUGGAAAGCAAGCAUUAGAAGAACUUUGACAAGAAAUAAACCUCCAUUUUCCUAUCAAAGAAGAGCACAGGAAUGGAAACCUUUGUAAUAGCUAAUCGAAAAUCUCCUGAGCACCAAGAAAAAUACAAACUUUAACUGCAAUCUGAAGGUAAAUUUAGCCCCCGUUUGGGAGUUUUGGGGAGAAGAAAAAAGAAAAGAAAGAAAAACUUUAAUGAGGAGGGAAAAGAAAAAAAAGAAAUGGCAUAGACUUUCUUCUCCUCUUGUUUGGGAGUUUUGGAGGGAAGAAAGAGUACUUUACUUCCUCUUGUUUGGAAGUUUGAAGAGAAAAGAAAAGAAAGCAUACCUUUUUAACAUUUUUACUAAAAUAUCCUUUGGAGGGAGAAAAUAAGUUUAUCUUUGAAACUUAACAAGCCUUGCUCCUCCAAGAAAGUGCAGCUGUGGAGAUGGAGCUCCGUAUAGGUGCAGCAUAUGGAGAUGGAGAUGACAUAUGAAAGGUUAAAACAAAAGAUACCCUGAGAUAUCUUUAUCCUUUUAAUUGAGUUUUUUUAAUUUAAGAGUAAAUAGGUAUUAUAAAAAAUUUAUUAAGUUCCAAUUCUUUUCCUCCACUAAAAUUCUCCCAAACAUUACAAUUUUUAACUUUCUUUCCAUUCCAUUUCUUCCUUCUCAAUUCCAAGUUUUCAAACGGAGCCUCCAAGACGAAGGACACGAGAGAGAAUUACAAAGAGAGUCGGGGAACAAGCAGAGUUAAACUCAAAACUGUAAGACUCUGCAAGCAAAGCACAGGAACAGCACUAGAAUCAUAUCCAGGCAUCUGAAGCAAGAGGAAUGGAGGAAAACUCCGAGGCCAGAAGAGACGGAGAGCGCUGUUACCUUUCUCCUCGGAACCCUCCGUGCCGCCUUCCACAGUAGCGGCGUCCGCAGACGGCGGGGCCCUCCUUUCGCUCGCCGGCGGCUCCGAAACAGGUGAGUCCACCACUUUCCCUCCGCCCACCUCCACCUCAUUCUCCUCGCCUUCCACCUCCCCUUUCUCCUCUUCCUUCUCCUUCUUGCAAGAGCAAUGCCUCGGGAACCGCAUCCCGCAUCCCAUCCCGUCCCCUACUCCUCCGCCGCGGGCCGGCGAUGGCUUGUGGAGCGAGAGGCGCAGCCGGGAGAGCAGAGCGCGGGGAGAAAGAGAGUCGGCGGCGGAGGCAGAGGAGUGGGGAAGGGAUAAGCAAUGGUCCCACGUUUUUCUUCUUUUCUUGUUCUCCAUUGCCCCGGAUUUGCGUUCCGGGAGGAAAUCGGCUACUCUCCUCUCCUCCAUCCGCUUCCACCCCAAGAAUCGGAACCCACGCAGAAACAGGGGGGCUCUCCCUGUUUCCAACACCAACCCAUGCACGAGCUAUUUAUACUCGAGAGACAACGAGAGAGCGCGCUCGAAAAACGUAGCAAAAAAUUUUGGAGAGAUACGGAGGGGACCGGGGUGGCCAUUCUUCGAAGCCAUGGCGUCAUUCAAUUCAAUAAAAACACUCCCCCGGUCCGCUUGCUUGCCCUCUGGGGUGACCAGAAACCCUGAGUCACGGGAAGAUCCUGGAAAAAAUAAUUACUGCUUCCAUGCCACCCCAAUGACUUUUGAGUAUUUAGUGACAUUGUGACAAUAUCCUACCUUCUCCUUUAAUGACCAGAGUCAAUAGAUAGCCAAUUAUGGGCCAAGGCCCGCGUAGGAGAAACCACGAAUUUUAAUGAUUUUUUUCAUCAAAUUUAAAUUUUAAAAGUUCCAGUGAAUAAUAGUUGGUGAGAUGCGGAGGCGAUUGGACUAAUGAAGGAUAGAAGAUUCACAGGCAAGGCGUGAGGCAUUGAAUGAUAGCAAUAAGUGGUAAUUAUUAAAAUAUGCGUACUUGUGUAUUAAGUGACGUGCUUAAUAAAAGCUACCAAUUAUUGGACUUGCUUCUCCCAUGGACCCGCACUCAGUAAUGAUUAUUUAUAGAGUCCAUUCCGCAUCUUCGCUGGCACAUCAAUAAAUUCUGUGAAUAGAUUCGAUUAAUUUUAAAUUGAAUAUUUUGGCUCGGGUUAGCUGCAGUAAUAAGAAACAACUGUAUGUACUUUUAAAAAAUAUUUUUAUUCUGAUUUGGAGAGCCAAGCGAGCAAUAGUUUCUGAGAAAACGUUUAAACUAGUUUUUCAAGUUCAGAAUAAAAUGAACACGUUCAUGAGAAAGUUAGAAAAUUUGAUUUUAUUUCCGAAUAACCCUAGUUUAUCCUAAAAUUUCAGUUUAGUAUGAUUUUCUAGGGUUGUAAAAAAGUAACGUAGAGGCAACCGCGAGUAGCUGAACAUAGUUGCAAAUAGUUCUUUUCUUUUGUAUUAAAGAGACGCUGCAUUUCCUUUUGCAACAAAUAAGAAUUUAAACUCAGUUUAAUUCCCCUGAAAGCAAUAGUGCAUUUCCUUUUGCAACAAAUAAGAAUUUAAACUCACCCCAAGGUAUUGGAUCUUAUUUCCAUCUGUAACUUUGAUCGCUCAAAUAUGUAAUCAGAACCUCUAUAAAGUUAGCAAUAUUAACCUGUUGUGUCAUGAGCAACAUUAAUACUCAUACAAGUUUGUAACAUGCUCCGAUUCAAGUGCUCGAGUGGAAAAAUGCACACAAGCAAGUUUUCAAAACGCUUAUGGGUUCACAUAAACUCAAGUGCCCAUGAUGCAGGAUCUAGGAAGAAAAGAAGAAAAAAAAAGGAAAUGAAAAGCUCAUCUAGGUUGUUCGAUACAAGUACGUUAUCAAAAGCUCGCAGAUAAUAAGUCAAUCUUGCUGGACGAUGGCCAUUCUGCUCUUCAUCAGAAAACAAAACGGCAUGAAUUAAUUAUAAUACCAAAACAAAGGAAUACAGUAACAACAAUUUUCUCCUUUUCGCCAUCAUAUCCUGAAUGGUUGAUUUUCAGAUCUGCUCUGGUCCAUCUUCACCUUCAUCUUCUGUUGUGCUUUUCACGCUGGCAGACUCCUGGAACAGGUUUGGUCCACCAAAAGAUUGUCCGGAUUUCUUUACCUUCUUCCUCUUCCCUCGGUCAUACUCCUCGCCCCUGAAAAUUAUUUAAACAAAGUGAGGAGGCCUUGAAAGAACAAAUUCAAGCUACUAUUGAUUACUUGAAUGCCAGAAAUGGAUUAUUCAACACAGGGACUGUAACUCGUUUAUAAUAAAUUAGGCAUUGGUAUGCAGAAUCUAAAAUUAGUUGGAAGUAGAAAAAUGGAUUAUUCAACAUAGAAACCGUAACUCAUUUAUCAUAAAUAAGGCAUUAGAAUGCAGAAUCUAAAAAUGGACUAUUCAACAUAGGGACGGUAACUUGUUUAUCAUAAAUUAGGCACUGGUAUGCAGAAUCUAAAAUUAAUUCAAGUGGCUGCAGCAGGAACAUGCUCUAUUCAGUGUCAACGAAAGUUGGACUUACUGUCAGGUGGAAAUAUAAGGACAAAAAAACAAACUGCCAAGUCAGUCGAGUAUCAGACUCAUAUUUCUGAUUGAUGGAGAGUCGAACUCUUCCAACAGUGACUCCAACAAAGCGCUCAAUUAAACCCCACCAAAACUUUGUUCGAAGUGGGCUUUCGUUAUUUGCAGUGCCAGGUUACUUAAAAUUGUACUAAAUAUCAUAAAACUUGUAGGUUUGAACAGGAGUAUUGAUGUGAAACAUAUAUUUUGAUCACUAAUACUGUCAGUAAGCCGUGCAACACAAUUUAAGUUUCUUGAAGACUCAUAAGAUACCAUUAACCCACCAUGUCAUGCUUGUGUCCUUUGUCGUAAUUCUUAACACAUGCAUUUUAGUUGCAAUAAAAUGUAACAAAUGAAGAAUUUUGUUUUUCACAAUUAGUAGUUGUGGCCAAACUUAAGGUCCAUGAAGGCAAUAUCGAUCGGUCUUUACGCAUUUUAAAUACAUGGUAGGUAGAAAUUCGGCACAAUCCUGUUGAUCUGGACUGACUAAAUAGUAAGAAGCUAGCAAUUUACAACAAGAGAAGCAAGUUCUCAAAUUAACAGAUAUUACUUUAACAGUUCACGUUCUAUAAUAUUAUAAAAACUUUCCAUGCCCUUUUAUAUUCCUUUUCCCUCUUGCGAAAUCAGAUUCAAAAUGUAUGCCCCAAUCCAGCUCUUGAAACCACAUCCAUGCAAUAGCAGUUAUCUUGUCACUAUGUUGGUCCCAGUAAAGGAAAAAUGGCUAAUUGCAUUUGGACAAUAUUCAUUCAAAAAAACAAAAGCAUCAAGACAAUAAUGAGAAAGGUGCCUUAAUGAUCCAACAAAGUCAUCUGCAGUAACAGCAUAAUCAUAGUUAAAACCACCAACCUAAUCCAAAUAAUUUGUUGCUCACUUUAUGUAAGCUCCCUUUGCCAUUAUUCCUGCAGAGAACUGUAACGGUUGUCAUUCCCUGCUUUUUGAAUUUUUUCACAUCUUUUAUCUGUGCUAUCUUUUUCUUGUUGGCCCUUUAAUGGAAACCUAUACCCCUCCCCUCAUCAGGACCUUGACAGAUAUUAAUUAGACAUGCUUAUAUGAUUUUACUUGUUAUCCAUCACUCUUAAAUUGAUGGAAUCAUUAUACUCAUUUCGAACCUUCUUUGUAAAUUAUAACCAGCAAAAGGAACCACUAUGACACACGGGCUCAGGUCUGAGGUGUAGGAAAGAAUAUGUGCCGAAGUGUUGGAUCCUUCAAAUGUUUCAGAAUUUCUUCUCACCAACCAAUAUCCAUUUGCUCAUACCAUUUGGUGUGGAUAUUUUGGAGUAGAUUGAAUGGUCCAGCUAACACAGUCACGCCAUACAAUCUGGCUUAAAAAUCUAUAAAGACAUAUGUUGCCUCAAACAUUCUGGUUUUGGUAUAGCCAAGCUAGAUGAAAAAAAUGCUGGUUAUAUCAUAUUUUGCUAGUUUGUUAGUUAAUGUUAAAUUUUCUAAAAAUCUUCUGCAUUUUAACUUCCGACCCCGAAGUUCGGCAGAAAGUCAAGUAUAUGAUGCAGUGCAAUAAAAAUAUAUUAAAACAAAGCAUGACCACUUUCGUAACAAAUAACCUGAUAUUACAUAGAAAUUGGCUAUAUGAUUCCGACAGCAAGGAACUAGUGUUUUGUUGGUUGAAGGAUGCUUAAGCCUCUAUUUCUAAGAGUACAUAAACACCAGAUCAAUCUACAGAAUAAAUAUCGAAAUCAGCAAGUAACUACAUUUUCUUUCCAAAUGUAAUCUAUCAACCAACUUAAAACGGUUAGGCUUGGUAGUUAUAUAUUAACCACCCAAAGAAUCAUCAGCAAACAUAAUACCAGACAAUCAAGCUGCCACCAAGUAGUCAAAGCUUUGUUUAUCAUUCUUAGGCCUUGUUUUGCUUUUGGAGAGCCAAAAAAGUGCUUCUUGAAGGGUUAGAAGCUCUUUUGGGUGAUUUUAAGAUGUUUGGUAAAAAUUUUGAAAUAAUUUUUUGGCUCCUUCAAAAGCUAAAAAAGGUCAACUAAAGAUAAGAGCUUUCAAGCAAAAGCUCCACUUGAGACGCGUCGGAAAGCUUCUUUUUAGCAACCUAGAGACUCGAGUUUCGGUCCAAUAACAAAAUUUUAAAAAUUAAUUAGAACUACUUAUUAUUAACGUGAUCAUUUAAGUAUGUAUUUUUCAUGCCAUAAUCAUGCAAUUAAGAAUUUUGAAUUUAUUUAUUACAUUGUUAAAAUCAAAAUAUAAAAAAUCAAUUUACAAAUGAACAAGUCUUCAUAAUAACAAUUUUAAUAGUAAAAUAUAAUAACAUAAUAUAAUAUAAUAUUGUAUUAUGCUGUAUUAUAUUAUAUUAUAUUAUAUUAUGAUAAUUUUAUAUUGUUAUCAUUAUUUUUUAACAUAAUAAUUGUAUUAUAAUAAUAUUUUAAUACCAUAUAAUUUAUAAACUUUUAUUAAAAUAAUAUCAUAUUACCAUAUCAUAAUAAUAUUAUAGAAAUAUUAUUAUAUUUUUAUAAAUAUAAUAACUUAUUAUUAAUUAUUUUAUCUAGAUUAAAAUAUUAACAUAAAUAAAUUAUAAAUUAAGAAUACUUUAUAAUAGAAGUUUUUGAUAGUACAAACAUUUAGAUACAUUGAAUGUCCUUUAUUGUCAUUGUUGAUAUAUAAAAAUACUUUUGUCAAUUUGAUUACCAAAAAGAAGUUAGUUCCAUAACACUUCAAAAUUAUAGUUGUGAAACAGCAAACUUUUUAUUAAAAGCUCUAUUGCCCGAAGGUCUACCGACAAAAGCUUCCCUAUCUAUUGCAAUGCCAAACGGGAACUUAAUCUCCAUAUUUAUCAUGCACAGUUAGGGAACUCACCAUUCAUCCAACACAUAACCGAUGCUGCUAUUUCUUGAAUUUUCCAGUUCUUGUACCUCAGAUUUUGGCAAUUCUAUGUCAUCCCACCGUGCAACUGCAUACAAGAAAGUGGACCUUGAUUAGCUUGCCACAACUCAAAUGCAAAAAAGUAAAUUGGACGGGAAUGAAAACAGGAAACAUAAAUACCACAAAGCAUUACAGAAACCCACCAGUAGGUUCCUCCAAACCCCUCAGCAAACUCAUAAAUUCAUGCUGACGUGGCCCUUUCACAUUUGCAUCAGUUUCUCUUGAGAUGCAUUGAUUUGCUGCAGAGCUCAAACACCUUUUGACAUGCUUUGAUGUACCAAGCAUGACACUAUUUUUACCAUUUCUCUCCUCUAUUUGUCUAUCGGUUUCUGCAGAAUCACCAGUACAAUAACUCUUAUCAUUCAUUCCCUGGAUAUUAUUGUCUUUGACAGAAUUAGAAUGGGAGCGUUUUCUAUGGGAAUGCUUGGAAUCUAUACCAACUUUAAUGGCCUGAGAUGACGAUGUUGUCUGCUCCCUUAUGCUGAGAUCAUCUAGAAUUACAUUUUUGGUCAGGUUUCUAGAACUUAAACGAUGCUUUUUGCUUUUCUUGUGUUUUUUACUUCUACGCAGGCUUAAAUAACUAAAAAAUAAUUGCUUGCGGCCAAAGUACAUGCCCCUCAGUGAACAUUUUGCAAGCUUCUUCAGUUUCAUGUUUGCUUGGUAGAUUUUGCCAACGGAAUGUUCUUUGCCAGUUUCUGCAGAAGCUUCCUUCUGACCAUCACCAUUUGAAGUGCUUUGUUUCUCUGCAAAACUGAUCAACCCAGGUUCACCCACGUUAAGAAGGCUUUCCUCAUCCUUCUGACAUUGAAUACUGCUUGAGCACUUCUCAUUCUCAAUGCCAAUGGCCUGGACACAAACAGGACAAAAACUUUUAACUUGAUUCAAGCAAAUCAAUCAUGGAAGCUGCAACACAAAGCGAAAAACAACGCUACCUGCUGCGCCACAUCCUUUUUGCUGAACACUUCCUUCUGAAUGGACUGCUUCAUAGAACUUGAUUGGCCGGGAACAUUAAUAGGCUCAUUUUUGGAAGGUAUUUUGUUGCUGUCCAUCAUGUUGUUUUCUAUCAGAAGUUUCUUGGGAUGUUUCUCAGGAGUUUUUGGGAAGGCAGGAUCAUUCAUCUCACCAGUAAGGGUAGCCAACUUAUUGUCUGCAUUGCAGCCAUUAGAAAGACAAAGUCUACAAUUUGAUUGGACAUGAGGGAUAGAGGAGGUAUCACUUCCAUGAUAAGUGGUGAUGACAGCAUUGUCCUUUAGCAAAGCUGGCUGUGCUAAGUCUUCUGUCAAUUUCUGGUCCCCUGUGGAUGUCACAACAGGCAUCGUUGGAUCUUUACAAAAAGGUAGUUUGGCAUCUGCCGAUGUUUUCGAAGCUUCUUUUGGCAUCGCUAGACCAUUAUUUCGUGAGAUCUGCAAAGAAUAAAUCACUUGCUGCACGGGGUGAUCUGAUGUAGUGCCCACUGCAGAGCUGGAUUGGCAUUUGCUUGCAGCAUUAGUUUUAAUUUUGACAGAGAUACACUCUGCAGUGUUCAAUUUUCUUUCAACCCCAUUAUUUUGAACUGCUCCGUUUGAUGUUGGAGAAGACUGGGGAACUAUUUUAUUCCCAGGUCCAUUAAGAAAAAUGUUAUCUUUGCCAGCUACAUCAACUGAUCUCUUCAUUGUAGAACUUUUAUCACGGACAUAGAAUAACAUAUAGGCUUUCUGUGCCAACACAGUCUUCUCGCUGACUUGGCUGACCUGUAAUUAUAAGAACAAUGAACAUAAAAACCACUUAAGAAAAUUACAUAUGUACAUAAAACAGACUUCCAUUGCUAUGGUCCACUAUUUAUAACAAAAACUAUGUUGGCUCUUUCCUUCUUUAAUUAAUUCUCUUCAUUCUUUUUCUCGCUAUUUAACUCUUCUCCUCUUUAUUUAUUUUUUUGUUUGUCAGAUUUGUUGGUAACUACGUUGAUAUGUGAGCAAGGUUAUGGAGAAAAAGAAUAUUUAUCUAACAUUUCAACCAGGAUGCAUUUCAGACGGAUUCACCAGGUAUAUAAACAUAAAAACAAAAUUUAAUGAGUUAGUGAUAGAAUUACAUAAAUAAGAUAAUCACAUGGAAAGCUAUCCGUAAUCUCAACCUGGUUAUCAUCAAGAGAAUGCCACAUGCCACUUGAAGUGCGAACAUAACAGUAAUAAUGGCCAGAGUGAGUACUCCAACCCACAUGUACCAAUACACCAUAAAGAGUAUAUAUUAAAUUUCCUUCCUGCAAAUGGAUGUAAAAAGUUGUAUAGUCAAAAAAAGAGUAGGCAACUGAAUUUUCUAAGAUGAUGAAAGCACAAAGAACAAGUGUAUACUAACAUGCGCAUCACUGACAAAGGGUUUUAAGUCUAGAGUGGGCUCAAAAUCAACUCUUUUGUCAAUCUUCUGUCCAGGAAUAUGAGAACUAAAACGUUUAAGAUGAAUUGUCAGGACAUAUGGGGCCUUAUGAACAGUAAGCUGCUUCAGAGCCCUAACUUUCUCUUUGCACCGUUGGCAUUGGUACUGCCUCUCCCCUCCAUCUAAUUGCUCCACCGCAGUGAAUUGUGCAAGUGCCUUGCGCAAAGAAUCAGCCUUCACAAUUUCUAAACUCAAAUCUAAAAAGGGAUCAAACUUAUUGGAACAGUAGGAACAUUGCAUGCAUUUCACCUGCAACACAUUAUACAAUGCUCAGCAAUAAAGGAAUCCGGGAGAAUGUUUUCAUCAGCAAGCAUCUACUACAGAAGUACCUCCUGAAGUUACCUGACUCCUGAGACGACCCCCAAAUAUCUUGUGGACCAAACUUUUCUCAUAAGCAAUAGAAGACUCAUUUGGGACUCCAGAAGGUAAACAACAUUUGUGCAUGGACUCAAGCAAGUUAACCAUGUACUCGUGCGCAUCUUCUUGUCUGGAAUUGCGAAAAUUACGAGAUAUACCUGACCGUGUAGUCAAGAAUUACAACUCUCGCACUAAAGUAAACCGCAACGCCAAGAACUACCAUAAAAAUUACCAUUCAUCUAUCUCACAUUUUAAAAAGCCUAAGAAGUUAUUUUUUGGUUAUUUUUUUACUUGUUCUUAUAAAAAAGGAAGAAUCUGCAGUAUUUAUGAGGAUACUUCGCAAGUUCUUGACAAAAUGAAAAGGUGACAAUAUCUUCCCAGUUGAUUGUAGAGCACUCAUGACAUGAUUCUGAAGAGCGCACAUUGCACAAAAUCCAGCGGUACGGCCUACAAAAAAAAUGUCAGUUUGAAGUUGGUAAUAAAAUGACAAUAAUAAUAGCUGCAGAGAACUCAACAUGUAUAAAGUUCAGUGUGCAUAUUGAACUCAUGCAUUUGCAAGCACAAAAGGUAUUAUUUUUAACUGCCUAGCAUUAAUCACAAUAUAUCAUCAAUUAGAGGACCCUGUAUUGUUUUAUUCCUUAAGAAAAUAGGCCAGAAAAAAACAUUCAUGGCAUAGCUUACCUAUAUCUGUGUUAUUUUUCCAGGAAAAAAAAUAAUUUCAAAUUCAGCAAUAUUCUAGGAAUACUAUGUCCGUCAAUUUUUGUUCCCAAAAUAAGUUAGGAGUGCUGGUUAUUGGGAUAGGUUUCCUGUUUGUUUGAUACUUGUUAACAGAAAAUCCAAUCAGAUACGAUUUUCUUUUCCCAAAUAAGAUCUCAUAUCGGGUGCUAUCUAGUAUAAACUCCAACACCCUAAAAUAAUACCAUUAAUGAACGAGACAAGCUUUGUUUGGGAGAAGAAGGGCAGGAAGGCAUGCUUUUCUCCCUUCAACCAAUACCACAAUUCCAGAUUUGCUUAAUAUUUUUACCUUUUUUGCCACCCUAAUUUCUCCUUUGAUGUCUCCUAUUUUGCAAAGUUGUUUCAAUAUCUACGUCCUUAACAAAUCUCGUAAAAGAAAUACUUACUCCUAAUAUCAACUUAGAGGAUCAAACUCAUUGUUAGAAAAGUUCAAUUCACUCAUUAUUGGAAGUGUUUAACUAUCUUCCAAUCUUUAAAGAAGGCUACCAAAGAAUUCAUAGUUGUCUAACUAUCUGAUACAUGGCUGACUUAGAUACAUAUCCGACAUGGAUUUUUGGAGCUUGAUGUGAAUGUUUGGGUAACACUGGUGCUAGUGCAUUCUACUAAUUUUCCCUCCAUGAUCAAUUAGGUACUCCAGUUGAUAUUAUUUUUCCAUCCAACAUCCGCUACAUUAUAAUUUAUACACUUCAGCUGGCAUGCAUCUAUCAGGCCUCCUUAAACAUUAUCUAUGGUGCAUUAUUAACUUUGAAUUAAUAGAUCUGCAAAACUGUUUUUGGUCAGGAAAAAAAACAAGCUUUUAGUGAGAAGAAUCAGAUAGAUUGUGAGAAGACAUUGUCAAAGUUGCGUUGAUAUGGAGUACUGCGGCAGAAACAAAAACACAAAAACAGAGGAAUGAAGGAAGACAAAAAAUAAUACUUACAUGAAGAUUUAUGCUUGCCGCUUUGCAAAUAAGCCGCAAAAGGUUCAGUAUACGUGAGGCAUUGGAGAACUGAAUUAAGAAAACACGUGUUUCCAAGAUUCUGCAAACCAGCACCCUGCAAGACACAUAGAUUUUGUUAAUUACUUGAGAAAAAGAUUUACCGGUUAGAUAUAAUUUCAUUGAAAAAAAAGCAAAAUAAUGAGCUCAUGAAUGCAUAAAUAAAGAAAAUUGAAAAGGAAAAGUAUGCAGGAGAAGCAAUUGAAGUUUUUUUUCCUGAUAGUACCAAGCAAAUGCCCAAACUUUCAGUUAAAAAGAAAAUUUUAUUUUGGGGAAACUAAUUGUAAAAAAUUAAAAAAAACAUUUAAGGAGGUCCCUAACCACUCAAUAAAUGAAACGUGAUAGCCAAAUCGCCCCAAAAAUUACAACGAACAAGUACUCCAGCAACCCGAUCAACAAGAAAAGCCGUCCAGACUAGACAUCAAAGCCAAAUGUUGAUGAAGAAACACCAAAAAUCCAAUCUUUCACCGUAAAUAAACUCCAAAAAGCGACCUAAGCAAAAUCAAAACAAAUCCAACUCACGAUUCUCCGGAAGGAGAUCCUAAAGGUGAGCUCGGGGUCCAAUCCAUGCUCGUAGAACUCCCCAGCGUCAAAUUUAUUCCCCAACGACGCCGCCGCCGCGGGGCCGCCGGGACUCGGCGCCGGCCGGAGUCUAUCCGACGUGGGGUUUAGGGUUUCGAGGUGGAAAUUCCCCCCGGCGCUGGCGAUGGGAGAGUACGGCUUCCUGGCGGGAUGAAACUCGAUCCUUCUAUGGAACAGAGACUCGACCGACGACGAGGCCGCCGCAGCCUCCGUCUUCUUCGCCUCCCCCAAGCUCUCCGCCAUCGGGGCCGAGGUCGAGAUCCUGGGGUUGGAUAGGGUUCUGUCCUCGGCGAUCGGUGAAUGGACCAAGAGAUUGAGAGGGCCUGAGGCGGCGCUUCGCUUUUUUCUCGCACGGCCGAAAGAGGGAGUCGAAAGGGGAUUCGGAGUGGAUAUAAACCCUAUACCCUUUUGGAGUGGGGUGCCGCCGUACGUUUUGAUGAAAUCAGCGGCUGGGGAUGGACCGGGGGUGAUAUCAAGGCAGAAAAGAAGUGACCUCGGCCGUUGAUUUGCGGGGAGCUGGUUGAGUCUUAUGCGGUGGGGGUGCUUUUUUACUUGGAAGUUGGAUUGCCUGGAGACUAAUACGAUCAUGAUAAAGUUUUUUUUUUUUUUGAAGCACGUUUUUCUCGCACACAUUGUACGCGGAGUUGGGCACUUGCGCAAAUAUGCGGCCGGGAAACACCAAAAAUAUUGUGCGGUGCGAUCUUUGGGCCAGUUGGGCCGCCCGGUCUAUGAAUUCUAAGCCUACUCUGUUUUUCGUUGAGAAGGUUGUUUUUUUUCUUGCAUGUAUCCAAAAUAUAUAAAAUUAUAUAAAUAUCUUUAUAAAAUUACUAUUUACAUAUAUAUUCUUAUAAAAUAUUUAUUUUGCAUAUAUAUUUUUAUAAAAUAUUUAUAUGGUUCGGUUUACUACUUUAUGUCCAUGAACCAAGACGAUAAAAAGAUUCACUAUAGAAAAUUGGAAGCCAUACCUUAGCUCCUAAUACNNNNNNNNNNNNNNNNNNNNNNNNNNNNNNNNNNNNNNNNNNNNNNNNNNNNNNNNNNNNNNNNNNNNNNNNNNNNNNNNNNNNNNNNNNNNNNNNNNNNNNNNNNNNNNNNNNNNNNNNNNNNNNNNNNNNNNNNNNNNNNNNNNNNNNNNNNNNNNNNNNNNNNNNNNNNNNNNNNNNNNNNNNNNNNNNNNNNNNNNNNNNNNNNNNNNNNNNNNNNNNNNNNNNNNNNNNNNNNNNNNNNNNNNNNNNNNNNNNNNNNNNNNNNNNNNNNNNNNNNNNNNNNNNNNNNNNNNNNNNNNNNNNNNNNNNNNNNNNNNNNNNNNNNNNNNNNNNNNNNNNNNNNNNNNNNNNNNNNNNNNNNNNNNNNNNNNNNNNNNNNNNNNNNNNNNNNNNNNNNNNNNNNNNNNNNNNNNNNNNNNNNNNNNNNNNNNNNNNNNNNNNNNNNNNNNNNNNNNNNNNNNNNNNNNNNNNNNNNNNNNNNNNNNNNNNNNNNNNNNNNNNNNNNNNNNNNNNNNNNNNNNNNNNNNNNNNNNNNNNNNNNNNNNNNNNNNNNNNNNNNNNNNNNNNNNNNNNNNNNNNNNNNNNNNNNNNNNNNNNNNNNNNNNNNNNNNNNNNNNNNNNNNNNNNNNNNNNNNNNNNNNNNNNNNNNNNNNNNNNNNNNNNNNNNNNNNNNNNNNNNNNNNNNNNNNNNNNNNNNNNNNNNNNNNNNNNNNNNNNNNNNNNNNNNNNNNNNNNNNNNNNNNNNNNNNNNNNNNNNNNNNNNNNNNNNNNNNNNNNNNNNNNNNNNNNNNNNNNNNNNNNNNNNNNNNNNNNNNNNNNNNNNNNNNNNNNNNNNNNNNNNNNNNNNNNNNNNNNNNNNNNNNNNNNNNNNNNNNNNNNNNNNNNNNNNNNNNNNNNNNNNNNNNNNNNNNNNNNNNNNNNNNNNNNNNNNNNNNNNNNNNNNNNNNNNNNNNNNNNNNNNNNNNNNNNNNNNNNNNNNNNNNNNNNNNNNNNNNNNNNNNNNNNNNNNNNNNNNNNNNNNNNNNNNNNNNNNNNNNNNNNNNNNNNNNNNNNNNNNNNNNNNNNNNNNNNNNNNNNNNNNNNNNNNNNNNNNNNNNNNNNNNNNNNNNNNNNNNNNNNNNNNNNNNNNNNNNNNNNNNNNNNNNNNNNNNNNNNNNNNNNNNNNNNNNNNNNNNNNNNNNNNNNNNNNNNNNNNNNNNNNNNNNNNNNNNNNNNNNNNNNNNNNNNNNNNNNNNNNNNNNNNNNNNNNNNNNNNNNNNNNNNNNNNNNNNNNNNNNNNNNNNNNNNNNNNNNUCCUUCCACCAAAAAAAUGUUCGAUACAAACCGCAAGUUUCCACGUACCCUCUUCGACCCGUGAGCUCCUUCCACCGGUGCUACCACGUAUAAGUUCAUCCCCCAGUGCUAUCUUGGUACCAAAAGAUCAGUAGCGCUCAUCGGCAGCAUCCAGGCGUGGGGCAUCUGGUCUCCAAAUUUAAUCGACGCCCACGCGUUUUGAACCUGAGCCACUUUAGUGGAAGCUAGUGCUCCGUUCUAUCUAUGCUACCAUUUUGGUGGCACUCAGGCCGUUUUGCUGCCCUUUGUUUAUUUGUCAUUGUUGCUUUUAAAAGAAGGCAUGUUGAGUCUUUUUUUUUUUUUUUUUUUUUUUUCUCCAAGUCCAGGCACCCUCGUUCUCUUGGACAUGAAUCUUAAGAGGUUGGUGAGUGGGUCAUUAUGACCUAGAGAAAAAACACUUAAUUUUCAUAAUGCACAUCAAGGCAUCAAAGAUUUUUCACAGGAUAAUGUCUCCUCAUACCUGGCUAAAGUCUGUCAAAUCUCCUCAUACGCGUCCCUCGUCUUUAUCUUAUAAGACGACAAGAUCUAUCAAAUAAUUACUGUCCUUGAUGAAGAUAAAAAAUAGGGGAGAAAAAAAACAAAAAUCUAUAAGAAAAGUAGAAAAGACAUGCACUUUUUUUGCCAAUCACAAUUUUUUAUAUAAAAAAUUGCCCUCGAUGAAACAACUGUAAGACGAGAUUGCUUGCCUCUUUGCUUAGAUAACUAUAGAGAAAUAGAUUUCACGAAUAAUAUUGACAUUCUUAUUCUUGAAAAAGUCAUGCCUUUAAAUCCAAAAGGCAUGUGUCCAAUGAGAACAAAUGAUUCUAAAAUGGAUGUAAUAAUUAAAAUAACUAGUGGAACAAUGGCUACAAGCUAAAAGAAACAGGAGUACAUAAAUCAUUGAUAAUCUGUGCACUUGCUUUAAAAAUAAAAAUUAAAAAAAAGAGAGAAAGUAAGAAAUCAUCCAUACAUGUGGCUUAAGAGGUAAAUAAAUAAUUAUGUCCAUUCCAGAAAGCUGAAGGAUAAACCUAUUAAAAUUCCAAUAUUCCUUUGUACUUUUUAUAAGACUAUACGCGGUGGUAGGCAGUGCCAUUUACACAUACAAACUAUUGGAUCUAGUAUAUGGCUCAAUUCAUAGCGCAAAGGUGGGAUCAAGCUGAGUUAGCCUGUUUGUCUGUAAGACAAAAGAUCUCAUCCAUCAUUUUCUUAGCACUUAUUUUUUUCAUCCAUCUGCAUAGAUCUCGAAAUAGUUAUCGCGUAAUCUAACGGUUGACAUCGCAAACAAAGAUAAAUUCAUUCUUUUUUUUUGGAUAAAUUGGCUGCUCACAUUGCUCUAGCAUGAGCACAACUAACUACAUCAGAAUCAAACAAACUACACAAAGU